UAGAUGAUGGGAUGAUGGAUGCAGCAAACCACCACCAUAGCACGUGUAUACCUGUGUAACUUGCACAAUCUGCCCAUAUAUAAUAAAGUAUAUAUAUUUAAAAAAGAAGCAGUAUGAAAUUGUCCAAGUCACUUAGUUCCCUUUUCACCAGCAAAAUGAUCCGUAAAUGCUGUUUCCAUCUCAGUGCUUCUCUGACUUUUUGUGUAGCAGAAUGUUACAGAAUUGGUGAAGUUUUAUUGAAAAGGAUGGAGGUGACUUGGGAUAAAGGCUGCGAGAAUGGAAGUGACUUAACGAAGAACCCUUGAAAAAAUGAUUACCUUGUAGAUAAUGCAGCAAGAAGUUGGCAGAAUAUAAUAAGUGUUGAAUUCAAAAGGAUAUGAUUAAUAAACACAGGAAUUUGAUUACAUGCCCGGCUCUCAUUUUGAGGUUAUUAUUAGCACUCAUGAUGGACUUUCAAAAAUAAGGGACGUGAUUGAUCAUGAUUGGUCAUUUUUAUGCUUAUAACUCUGUACCUUUAAAACUAGGUAUGUAUUUGUGGAUAAGAAGUGGGGGAAAAGUGGGGCACGUAACCUGAAGACAGUGUUCCCCAGGGGUAUUCUCAACUACUGUACGACAAUCAGGAGUCCAGCCCUGCAGGGAGAGACCAACCAAGACAAAUAAAGAGCUUCAUUGCAAACAUUUAUUACUUGAAAACAGUUCUAAUAUACUCUUUGAAGGCACUAACUCUGGAGUCUAACUUCUUGGGUUUGAAACCUGGCUUUGCUGAUAGUAGCAUGUCACCACAGACAAGCUACUUAACCUCUCUGUAAGUCAGUUUCCUCAAAUGUAAAAUUGAGACAUUAGUAAUUCUACUUCAGAAAGUUAUUGUGAGAAUUAAAUGAGUAAAUGUAAUGUAUCUACGGCAGACUCUUGUUUCCAAGAAGAUGGAGUAGACAUAGCUUCCCCAUUAGAUCCUCUGAUUACAAUAAAAAACUCGUAGGAAGACUAUGAAAGACAAAGAGAAGAAGGCAGGUUAGCUAGGGACUCGGGACAUGAGGAAUAACAUGCUAAUGAGUCCCCUGUGCUUUUUUCCACUCAUAUCCCAAAUUUGAAGUAGAAGAAACUAACGACCCAGCAAGGCCAAUGGGCACAGACAAGACAAGUCCCCAACAAAAGCCUUAUCUCUCUAGUCAAAGCCCUGGGCAAAGGGCAGCAUGGAAAGACAGAAACUUUUAGAUAAUCAUCACUUUACUCCAGCCAAACACCACAGAAAAAAACUAUGGCCUCAGUCCCAUCCAUAUCAGCAACGGCUGAAUGGGGAGGCUAGACUUCUACCUUCACAAGCUAUAAUGGGGUCCUGCAGCACUCUCACUAGGGUGACGUCAGAGAGGCCAAGUGGGGAGCUGGGACUUUUGUUCCUGUCACUGGUAUUGACACUUCCUUCACUAGCCCACCACAAUGUCAGUAGAGAUGAUAUCUGGGCUUGAACCUCCACCUGACAGUAGCAAGGUGCCCCUUUCUCUCCCUGCUGGGGUGUGGUCAGAGAAAAGUCAGGACUUUCACCACUGUUCUUGGGGUCUUACUUAGUGGAGAGUUAGAGCUUUAACCGUUGCCCAGGUGAAGGAGGACAUUGCCACUGUGGUGUCAUUGGACACCAGGUGGGGAACCAGAACAGCCACCACCGCCAAACAGUCCCCCGACUCCCAAGUGGUGUUGGAGGUCAUGUUGCAAAACUAGACUUCUGCCUCCAACUGGUAGUCAUGGUUUGGUUCUUUCUUCUCUUCCUUGCCAAAGAAGUAUUAGAAAAGCCAACUAAUUCAUAAGAUUUAAAUAAGUUUCAAAGUUUCAUGACAGAUGACCAAGAAAAGUGUGGUUUUCACCUGAACAUCACUCAUACGGAGGGCAAGGAGAAUCUCAAAAAGAAUGAGAAAAGACCAUCAGUAGAUGCCAACACCAAGAUGAACAACGAUGGUAAAAUUAUGAUAAAGAUUUUAAAGCAGAUGAAAAAUAUGAGUCAAUAAGCAAUGCAAACACACUUGAAACAAAAGAGAAAAAAGAAAGCCUCAGCUGAGAAAUACAGAGUCUUAUCAAAGAAAUGUAAGAUACAAAAAAGAACCAAAUAUAAAUUUAAGAACUAAAAAAUGCAAUAACUGAAGGAAAAGCUUGGUGGAUUGGCUCAUCAGUGGAAUGAAGAAGGCACAGGAAAGAAUUGGUGAACUGGAAGAUAAAGCAAUAGAAGUUACCCAAUCUGAAAAACAAGAAAUAGACUAAAAUUAAAUGAAUAGACUCAGGGAUCUAUGGGACUAUGAUGAAAGAUCUAACGUUUAUGUCACUAGAGUCCUGUAAGGAAGAAAAUAAAGAGGUUGGAGAGAAAAACGCUCAAAGAAAUAAUGACUGAAAAAUUUACAAAUUUGGCAAAAGACUUAAACCUAUAGAUUCAAGAAACUGAGUGAACUUGACACAGAAUAAACCCAACGAAAUUCAUCUGAAACACACCAUAAUUAAACUUACCACUAUUAAAGAAAAAGAUCUUAAAAACGUUCAUUAAAAAGUGACAUCUUACCUACUAGAGGAAAAAUUAGAUUUUUCAUCAGAAACACUGGAAGCCAGAAGAAAAUGACACAUUUUUAAGUGUUAAAAGAGAAGAAAAAUGACAACUCAGAAAACUAUAUCCAGGCAAAAAUGUUAUUUAGGAAUGAAAGAGGAAUCAAGACAUUCUCAAAUGGAGGAAAACUGAGAAUAUUGCCAGGAGACCUGCUGUAAGAGAAUGGCUGAAUGAAAUUCUCUAAACAGAAAAAAAAAAAAAUGAUGGACGACAGAACCCUGGAACAUGAAAAAGGGAACAAAGAAUAUGGUAAGUGAAAGUGUGCUUAAUACAAUAACCUUUCCUUCUCCUCUUGAGUUUUCUACAUAUGUUUGACAGUUGAAGCAAAAACUACAGCACUGUCUGAUGUGGCUCUAAAUGUAUGUAAAGUAAAUAUUUAAGACAGCUAUAUUAUAAAAAGGACAGGAUAAAAGGACAUAAAGGGAGGUCAGAUUACUGUACUUCACUUAGACUUGUAAAAUGAUGACACUAAUAGAUUGUCAUAAAUUAUGUGUAUAUAAUGUAAAAACUAAAGCAACAGUACUACUUCUGUGAGGAACUGACUUCAAAUAUAAUGAUAAGCACAAAGGAAGUGAGGAUGGAAAAUGAAAUUUUAUACACGUUAAUUAAAGGAAACAAAGGAGUUGUUUAGAAAGCUAAAGAGGAAAAAUCUCAUGAUCAUAUCAAUCAAUGUAUGCAAAAGCAUUUGUUAAAAUUGAACACCCAUUUAUUGUAAAAACUCUCAAGAAACUGGAAUAGAAGUGAAACUUCUUCAACUUAAUAAAGAACAUUUACAGAAGUGCUAUAGCUAGCAUUAUUAUUAAUGGUGAAAGACUGAAUGCUUUCCCCCUCAUGUCGGGAACAAGGCAAAUAUAUUCAUUUUUACCACUCUUACUCAACAGAGUACUUGAGGUUUUAGCCAGUAUAAUAAAGUAAGAAAGAGAAAGGACACAUUUAGAUCAAAAAGGAAGAGAUCCUUAUUUGCAGAUGACGUGAUUCUCUAUGUAGAACAUUCCAAGAAAUGUUUAAAAAAACCCUUAGAACUAAAGAAUGAGUCCAGCAAGGUCACAGAAUACAAGACACACACCCAAACAUUAAUUUUAUUUUUAUAUUAUAGUAAUGAAUGUGAGGACACCAAAAUUAAAGAUACGACACCUCUUAUAAUUGCUGAAGUUAAAAGUGAAAUGUUAGUUAUAUAUCUAACAAAACAUAUGGAAGACUUUUAUACUAGAACUGUAUAGUGGUGAUCAAAGAAAUAAAAAAAAACCUAAAUUCGUGAAGAGACAUGCCAUGUUCAUGGAUUGGAUGAGAACAUGGUAAUGCUGGCAGUUCUCGCAAAGCUGACCUAUAGGUUUAAUGCCAUUCCUACCAAAAUCCUAGGAAGAUUUGUUGUAUAUGUAGAGAAGAGUAUUUUAAAAUUUACAGUGAAAGACAGAGGAAAUAGACUAGCUAAAUUAUUUCAGAACACAAAAAUAAAGUUGAAAGAAUCAGUCUUUUCAAUUUCAAGACUUAUUCUAUUAGCUGGUAUUGGCAGAGGCACAGAUCAAUGGACUUGAAUAAAGUAACCAAAAACAGACUCAGGCAAAUAUUAUCAACUAGUAUUUGACAAAGGUGCACAAGAAAUUUGAUGGAAGAAAGAAUCUGUUCAACAAAUGGUGCUGGAGCAAUUGGACGUCCAUGGACAAGAAUAAACUUCAACCUUUUAUAAGUCUCACAUCUUACACAAAAAUUAAAUGAAAUGGAUCAUGAACUUAAAUAUAAAAUGUGAAACUAUAAAACUUUUAGAAAAUAAAUGAAGGUGAAGGGACAUUUCACCUAAAAGAACAGAUGACAAAUAAAUACAUGAAAAUAUGUUCAACAUCAUUAGUCAUUAGGGAAAUGAAAGAUAAACCAGCAAUAAGAAAUCACUCCACACUUAUCAGAAUGGUCAAAAAACAAUAAUAAUAAAAUCGUGACAACAGCAAAUACUGGGGAGGAUACAGAGAAACCAGAUCACUCAUACGUUGUUAGUGAGAAUCUAAAGUGGUAGAGGUACUCUGGAAAAUACAGUUGAACCUUAAAGAACAGGGACUGAGGUGCUGACCCCCUACCAGUUGAAAAUAUAUGUUUGUUCAUUGCAGCAUUAUUCACAAUAGCAAAGACAUGGAAUAAAUGUGGUUGCCCAUGAACAGUGGGUUAAUAAAGAAAAUGUGGAACAAAUAUACUGUGGAAUACUGUGCAGCCAUAAAAAAGAAUGAAAUCAUGUCUUUUUUUAGCAACAUGGAUGCAGCUGGAGGCCAUUAUCCUCAGCAAAUUAAUGCAGGAACGGAAAACAAAACAGUGCAUAUUCUCCCUUGCAAGUGGGAGCUAAACAUUGUGUACACGUGGAUUUAACGACGGGAACGACAGACUCUGGGCACUGGGGACCUCUAGGGAAGGAGGAUGGGAGAGAGACGUGGGUGGAAAAUCUCUCUACUGGGUGCUGUGCUCACGACUUGGGUCACAGGAUCAUUCGUACACCAGACCUCAGCGCACAUAAUUUAUCCGUGUAAUAAACCUGCACAUGUACUCCCUGAGGGAAUGCAAAAGAAAAUACAAGUAUUGACUCACAAAACUUAACUAUUAAUGGACCAGAAGUUUUACUGAUAACAUAAGUAGUUGAAUGUUUAACUAAAUAUAUGGAUAUUGAACUAAAUAUAUAAAUAUAUGGAGAGAUGUGCCAUGGUGACGGCCUGGAUGAGAACAUAGUGAUGCUGUCAGUUCUCGCCAAGCUGACUUAUAAGUUAAAUGCGAUUCAUGACAUAAAUAGUUGAUUAAAGCAUAUUUUGUAUAUAUAUAAUAUAUAUUAUAUUCUUAAAGUAAGCUAGAGAAAAGAAAAUGUUAGUAAGAAAAUCUUAAGAAAAAGUACAUAACUGUAUGUACUUUUCUUAAAAGUACAAAAGUGCCAUACCAUAUAUAUCAGUGCCUUAAGUUUACAUUGGCUGUUCACAGGAUGAAUUGUCUGUCUGAAAUGGUGCACAGCUGCAGCUGCAGGCCUCAAUCUAUGGUCCAUGUCAAGCAACUCAAAUUUUUCUUGUCAUGUCAUGACUUGUCUCUGCUUCUUGGGAGCACUUCCAGCAUCACUAAUGAUAUUUUGUGUGAGUCCCAUGGUGUUAUUCAAGGUUUACACAUUGCAGUAAACAUGAUGAAAAAUACACAAGAACCAGAAAAUAGCACUUUUUGCUGUGAGAGGCAGUUUACUGGAGAGAUGAACUGCGUGUGUGAGGCUGAAUCGUGUUUUAAGUGGAUACUCACAACACGAGCUCACCACAGUAGCAACAGAAAGUGGCUACACGGUUAUCACAGUGGUACAGUAUGUAGUACAGUUAGUUUUAUGCAAUUAUAAUUUAAUACUGCAUCUUUAAGUUUGUUUACUGAACAUGGCACCACAUACCAUCUGUAAGUGUUUGUAUGGGUAAGUUCUGAUAAAUUUUAACUUUUAUGAUAGAGUUGUGUAUAUUUUAUGCUAAGUAGGGAUAAAAUAGACUGGUAUCUACAUGUAUUUUAUGCAUUUAUGACGUACCUAAUCACAUAGUCAAGAAAUACCAAAAAAAUUAAGAAAAUUUUUUUGGUAUUUCUAGGCUAUGUGAUUCAUCUGUGAGUUUUCAAAUUGUCACAAAUCUCUAAUAAACUUUGCUGUAUAUUUAUUGGAAAAAAUAUGUAUAUUAGUGGACCUGAAUAGUUUAAAUCCUUGUGUUUCAAGGGUCAACUGUAGUUUGACAGUUUCUUAGAAAAGUGAACGUACAACUGUCAUUUUGUCCUCCCAGCAUUUGUGCUCCUAGGCAUUUAUCCCAGAGAACUGAAGACGUAGAUCCACAGAAAAAGUUGCACAUAUGCCAGGUGCAGUGGCUCAUGCCUGUAAUCCCUCCCAGCACUUUGGGAAGCUGAGGCAGGAAGAUUCUUUGACUCCAGGAGUUCAAGACCAGCCUGGGAAACAUAGUGAAAUUCUGUCUCUAUCAAAGAAGAAAAAGCCAAGCAUGGUGGUGUAUACCUGUGGUCCUGGCUGCUCAGGAGGCUGAGGCAGGAGGAUCGCUUUAGCUUGGGAGGUCCAGGCUGCAGUGACCUGUAAUCGCAUCAUUGCACUGCAGUAUGGUGACAGCAAGACCCUGUCUCAAAAACAAAAAAAACCCAAAAGCUUGUACAGCUUUAUUAUGUGUGGCAGCUUUAUUGGCAGUAGUUCUGUGUUCAUUUGCUAGAACUACUGUAAACAAAGUACAGCAGACUGGGUACCUUAAUUAACAGAAAUGUAUUGCAGUUUUGGAGACUAGAAGUCUGUGAUUGAGGUAUCAGCAGGACUGUUUCUUUCUGAGGCCAUGAGGAAGAAUGUGUCCCAUGCCUGUCUUCUGGUUUCUGGAGGGGUUCCGGCAAUCACUGGCAUUCCUUGGCUUGUAGAUGCAGCACCCUGAUCUCUGCCUUCGUUUUCAUAUGGCAUUUUCCCUGUGUAUUCAUCUGUGUCCAAAUUUCCCCUUUUUAUAUGGACGCCAGUCACAUUGGAUUGGGGGUGCACCCAACUAUAGUAUGAUGUAAUCACAACUAAUUCUAGAAGCAACAACUCUAUUUCCAAAUGAGGUCAUGCUCUGAGGUGAUCUCUCAGAUAAACUGGGAAUCAGGACCUCAACACAUAAAUUCUUGGCACACAACUUAACCCACAACAAACCUCAAACUGGAAAGAACCCAGAUAUCCUUCCACAGGGGAUUGGUUAAACACAUUGUGACACCUCCAUCCCGUAGAUUAACACACAGCCACAAAAAGGGAUAAACUGUUGAUACACACAGGAACCUGGGUGAAUCUCUAAAAAACUGGGCUGAGUAAAAAAACUAAUCUCAAAAGUUUAUGUAUCAUAUAAUUCUCUAUUUAUGUAAAAUUCCUGAAAUUACAAAAUUAUAGAAAUGGAGAACAUUAGUGGUUUUUAGGACUGAUGUGGGGGAUGAAAUAGAGGAAGGUGGACGUGGUGGUAAAAAGGGCAGUAAAUGGGAUCUUCACAGCAGUGGAAAAGUUGUGUCAUUGCCAGUCUCAGCAUCUGGGUUGUGAUAGUUUACUGUACUUUUGCAAGAUGUUUCCAUUGGAAGAGGUUGGCUAGAGUACGAGGGCUCUCGCUGUGUCAUGUCUUAUGACUGCAUGCCAAUCUAUAGUUAUGGCAGAAUAAAGUUUUAAUACAAAAAAUACCCACUACAGAGGUACAUAAUACAUAGCUAAGUGCUCAGCAGAUGUUAUUAUUAUGUUUGUUAGAAGACCAUUUUUGUCAUACAGUUUCAACACUGAGCGUGUUUACACAUAAUACAUUUGUUCUUUACCUUCCCUCAAGGACCAUAAAAACAGCAGGAAAAUCAAGGGGAACCAACACUCAUUUUUCACUGUAACUGAGUUCUGCCCUUCUUUCUGAGGCCUAAAUGAUGCUGUAAGAGCUCUCUUGGAUACUGAAAGAAGUAAACUCUUCUUUUCUAAUUUUUUUCCAUGUUCUCCAGUGUAUUACUGUGCUCAGUUGUAUUAUGAAGGAGUUAUGAGAUCUUGUACCUUUUACACUGCCUAUUGUCUUCACUGGUGAAGGAACCACUUGACAUGGGCACUUAACUAUGGGGAAGGUGUGUAUAUGGGUGGAAGUCCCCAGAUGAAUAGUUGUGGUAUAUGUUCCUUUUAUGGUGGAGUAAAGGGAUGCUGCGCCCAUUCUUAUCUUCAGAAAAUAAGGAGAUUAGAAACAGGAAACAUGAGAUUCAUUUGCCGUGGAACUAGAAGGCGUGUGCCAUCCCAAACGUCAAUGUCUGAACAAGAGUGUACAAGCGCAGUGAAAGAAAUCACAAGGAGGUAUGCAGAGAUGUCGAGUCAGGAUGCGCCCCAUGGCAGUUCAUAGACAAAGCCAGCAGAACUCAGAUCUUUAAUGCUGGUGGCACAACCAGAGGGGCAAAACGGUUGUUGGGAGCAGUGUGAGGUGCAUGGGCUGGUGGAAAGGGGAUACUCAGUGGAUGUGGGUGAAUGAGAAAUGACAGGGUCAUGCUGUAGUUGUGAGCUCAGUGGUGAAAGAGGAUCUGCCCUUGAACAUCCUGUCUCAGCCCAACUCUGCACCACAAAGAACCUCACUAACAACCUGUAAAUGGCUGCUCCUGAAACAGCUCACUCCCUGCAAAGACAGUGAUGAAUUGAGUGGUAGGGCAGGGUGAGGAGAACAAAGAACGGGUUCUGCAGGGAAGUACUGUAGAAAGGAUUUGAAAAACCAAAAACAAAUGGCAGACAGAGAACGUGCACCUAAAAAACUUCUCAAUGCAAAAUAUCUGUGUUUAAAAUAGUGGUUUAUGUUCAUUUUUCAAAGAAAGCAAUAAUUUCCAGAAAACAAGAGCUUAAACCCUGCAUAUAAAAGGUCAUGGAAGAUGUGGCGAAGAAAUGGAAGAAGAUGAAACAUGAGCUGAUCAAGCUCAGGCAAUAAGUAGAAGAAAAAAAUGCAAUCAUCAAUUAUAAAGUCCUGUUUGGAAGUGACCCAAUGAAAAUGAAAGGUCAUUGAAAAUGUGGUGGGCAGUAUUGCUGUGACAGUGUUGAGAACAGCAAGCAAAACAAAGACAGCUUGAGCAAAGGGUAAAAAUGGUUUUUUCAGUGGUGAAUAUGGAAGACAAAGGAAUCAACAAACAGAUAUUUGCUAUUCCUGCAGAAGAAAAUCAAAUAACAAAAUGAGAAAAAAACUGAAAAUACAACUCAUCAAAACUUUUCAGAACAAAAAGCUUCGUUAAAGGCUUCACAUAAAUGACUAAAUCUCUUUCAGAGUCAUUGAUAGGUUUUGCCUCAGCUACUAGACCUCUACUAAACAAGUGCAUCCUUCUUUUACUGGUUUGAUUUCUUCGGUUGCUGUAUCUCUUUGAGUAACGUACAUACAAGUGGAGGUUAGAGAUGAGGGCACAAUUGCAGCUAAAAUAUUCCCUGGGUUGGCGAUGCUUGUUCAUAGUGCAUGCUUGGUUUUGAGUGCUGAAAAAUGUUUACACAGUGAUCAAAAUACGGACAUAUAUUGCAGUAAAUUUACUUCAAAGCUUGAAAAAAAUAAUUCAUUGGUCAUAACAAGAUGAAAAAGAUGAGCCCCACCUUCGGUAUUUCAACAGGAUUAUGUAGAGUGGAAAUAGAAGAAAUGGGAGCAAUGCAUACAAUAGGAGAGUACACAGCUAUUUUAAAAAUGUAGCAACUCUAACAGGAAUGGUAUGGAAUGUAUUUUAAGUAAAAAACAGUAGGAUGCUGUUUUAGAUGUGUAUCUUAGGACGUAUUUUAAAAACUGAUGAUAGAGAUUGUCUCUGGACAGAGGUACGAAGGGUACCUGAAUCAAUCAGUCAAUUUUUUUCUCUCUCCCUCUCUCUCUGUCUCUUUUUAAAACUGUCACCUAUACUAUUAAGAUUAAAAAGAUGAAUAGAAAUAAAGUAGACUUGUUUAUUCAAGAUAUCUUCUUUACCAGAGCCUGGGUUCACCAUUAGGGUUGCUCUCUGAUUUUAUUCACUGCUUUGUAUUUUAAGAUGUAAAUACUGUAUGCCAGGUAGUCAAUGUUAAGUCCCUUGGGAGAGAAGGAACAUUACAUUCUUUUGUUUGUCUUCGAAAUACUUUUAUCAGAGAAGAUGCUCAAUACACACUGCUUCUCUGGACAUUGACUAAGCUGAAAUGAACCGACAACAGAGGAUGCUUGCCGUGAUUCAUACUGAGUAUGCAAAUCGUAGCAGAUUGUCAUGGUUGCUCCUUAAGCCCGUUUUAGCAAAAUGAAACAGGGAAUUGAGAAUUGGAAAUAAAACUAUGACUUCUAAGUCAUUUCCUACUCUUCUUUAAGAACUGUAUUUUUUCUUAUUGGCUAGAAAGCUACAUCUCUGCCUGUGAAUGGUUGUCUAGAAUCAUAUUAACCUCUUGGGCUUUAUCAAGAGCGAAAUGUACUAAUGGCAAGAGUUGCUCCAUGUCUGUUGUGUUUAGGCUGAACCCUUGAUACAAUAUUUUGACCAUUAAUCUUUAUUAGGACAUUGGACAAAUGUGGUCCCAAGGUUAUUCUGAGCUCUGAUCCAUUCUGAGCUGAGCUGAUCUCUUAAAGUCUGACUCAUACUUCAGUUAUUUCCAGCUUCUUUAGGACAAAGCUCACCGUAACCUCUAUGUUGCCGCUGCCAGCACAAGAGUUAAGAAAAAAGAAAAAAGCCUUAAUAGGAGGCAGGUGAUAAAUAUAAUUGGAUGCCCUUAGUAUCUCUGAUACAAUCACACAGCCCUCUCAUCUGUUAGCGUGGCACUUUACAGCUGUGAUUUAACCCACAUAAGCCUGUAUAAGGCACCUACUUAGAUUCAUUAAAAGCUCCAAAUAAAUGCCUAAAUUUUUAUCAGAAUUAUUGGUAGGUUUUGGCUCAGCUGUUAGACCUCUACUUAACAAAUACAUCUUUCUUUUACUGGUUUGAUUUCUUUGGUUGCUGUAUCUCUUUUGACUAAUGUCCAUACAGGUCAUGGUUAGAGAUGAGUGAAUAGUUGUAGCUAAAGUGUCUCCUGGAAUGGUGAUGCUCGCAGCAUACCUUGUUGAAAAGCUUUGUUUGAUUCUCUCCCAGUUGUUCAAAAUAGAGCUCUGUGGAAUCAUUAGCAAAAAAAAAUUCCUGACAUGCUUAUGUGUAUAAAUAUCCUGCCUGCUCUUAACUCCUGUUUUCUCAUCUGGGGGCCACUGGUAAAGAUCUACCACUUGAUCUUAAUUGCUAUGAGAGAGAGAAAGAUGCUCUCAAGGGUCACUGAAGUUUCCUACCAUAGAGGAUUUUAAAGAAUCAUUUCAUAGGAGCCUACCAUGGGAUGCAAAAAGGAAGCCAGCAUACUCCCAAGGCGACCAAGUCUAGGAAUGUCUAAACAAGUAUCCUGUGAGGGGUGUGCUAUCGUGUGUAUUUUUAUGGAUGAAAAUGACUCAUUGCACAGACUGUUCCUACUAAAUAUUACCUUUCCUUGGAGUGAAAAAAUAGACAACUUUCUUAGCUCAUAAUCUAAAUUAGUAGGUAUUCCACAAUGUUUUAUCAGUGUCAGGUCAAAGCAUUAUUGCUGGACCGUGGCUAUUAAUAUGUGGCUGUGGUCACAUCUGAAGUGUUUUCUUAAUAAUCCACGUUCCCCCCAACCAGAGCUGAAUGGGGGUCGGUCAUUCAGUCUAUAUAGGGAGGGAUGUCGCAAAACUUGCUCUGCUGAGCCGGCCUGGCUUGCUUGUGGUGUGUGAUGCCAUGUGUACAGUCAUAGCACACUGGCUGUUCUGACCCCUGUUCCUCAUUUCUGUCAGUAAAACCAAGUAGCGAUUCAGAUAAUGCAGAAGCAUGUUUACUCUGCCAAAGUUAAUUUGAAUAAUCAGUCCAUCCUGGGUAAGCAAGUAUCUCCUCAGCACUCCCUUCAUGAUGUUAUCUGAAAGCACAUAUUUAAAAGGGAGAUGAUACUGACAAGUCAGUCUAAUUUCUCAGCCUAAUAUGAACCAGGGAAAACCUAGACUUACAGUUUUCCAUAGUCAAUCAUGAGAUUGGGAGGAAAUACUGAGUGUAACCACAGGGCAUUUCCAUGGGCAGUAAUGAAGUUUUACUACUAAUAUAAUUGUAUUUGUUUUAAACCUGGAAAAGUCAUGAAUAAUGAACCAGUUAUAUCUUCCAUGAAAAAUUUUUUAAACUUAAUUUGUGUGUUUUCCACUUAAAUACAUUAGUUUACUUUUCCUGCCUCCGCUAAUGUCACAAUUAUAUCUGCAUAGAUUAUAUUAUUUUUUUCUUCAUCUGCAUAGAUUAUAUUAUUUUUUUCUUCAUCUGCACAGUCCAGACAGACAUCAGUAUUAUAAGAGCAUAAUAAAAAUAAUAUUUUAGUUCCAUGUACAUAGUUGUGUUCCAGUGGCAGCAUUAUUAUAAAUGACUUUUAAAGUUCUGUUAUUUGUGUACUCUUUGGCUCUUCAAAAAUUCUGAGCAUAUUUAGGUUUAACUAAUCUUUUUCCAGGUAGGUGUCUGAUUAAUAAUACCAAUUAGGUGUCUAGUUAAUACCACUGUUCUCUUUUUACAUAUCCAACAAAAAAUGUAUUGAGUCACUACCAAGUACUGGUACCAGUGCAGAUGAUGAAAAAGAUGUGGUGGGAACUUUUCUAUCUGGAUAGAUGCAGGAAGUUACAAGAGACUAUCACUUUCAUUCUAACCUUAAUAUCAAGCCAGACACUCUGCAGUAUUCUAAUGUUUCAAGCCCAUCAGAGCUGAGUAUGCAAAGAGAGACACACAAUUAACUAAAAUCCAGAAAGUAGCAAGACAUUUCCAUGAGAGAAGAGAUCCACAGCUGCUUUUCUUCCUGGUGAAUUAAUAGAAGAAAAAUAUUCCACAGACAAAGAGAGGUAAGGAGAAAGCAGCCCAACUUUUGGCGGCUGCAUGUGAGCUGGCAGGAAGGAUUAGAAUCUCAAGGAGCUCCAGACACAAAAAAAUCUUCAUCUGCCUGCCCACUCUUUUCCAGGGACCUUCACCAAAUGCACAGGGGUACAGUGCCAAAUGAUGGCAUCAGAACAGGUUUGCUGAACUGAUUUACCCUGAUAUAUGAGGGACAUUUGUUUUUAAGGACAAGGCAAAAGGCUACUGAAGACUAGGAAUAGAGCAGGAGAGAAGAAAGAAAUCCCUCUGAGGUGUUUUAGGCCUUCACUAAGUACACUGCAGAAGUCAUAUGAAGGCUAGUAGCUGGGCAGGAAAGCUGAGAAUAAUUCCACCAAAGUGAUAUUGGUCUUCACAGAAUACACCAUAGAGAACCUAAAGGCUGGCAGUCAGACAGUAAUGCUCAGAGAGAGCACUACUUUGGAGGAACACAAAGCUAGAAGUGGUACUGGACCAAAACAAAAACACCUCCCUGAUAACCCCAUCUCCCUCAAAAAAAAGCUAAUAGAUGGACUGACAAGGAGAUAGAGAUUUUCAGAGCUUAGAAAUUUGGUGGCUGGGCUGUUAAGGAGAACAGUAUUUUCAGAGUCUUGACAAUAUGCAGAUACCCAAUCUUGCUUAAGAGAAAGUCCUAUCAUGUCUUCAAACUUACAGCUAGUGGUCAACUGAAUCUAGCCAAAGCUAGACUAAGUUCAGACCCAUAUCAGCUGCAGAUUAGCUAACUCAACCCUGAGAGAAGAAAGAUUGUAUCCUUUUGGGGAGUUCAUUAUUAUUUACUUUAGUCUGUUAUAAUAUUUUACCUACAAUAUCUGAACCACAAUAAAAAUUGAUGUAUUAUGUGAAAAAACAUAAAGUCAAGAGAGAAAAUAGUCAACAGAAGCAGACCAGACCUGGACCAGCUGGGGGAAUUAUUGGACAGAUUACACACAGACAUACACAGAAACACACACACACACACACACACACACACACACACACACACACACACAAAAUAUAUGUUAAAGGAUCAGCAGAAAAUGGAUGAUAAAAACAUAAAAAGGUAAAGGAAAUCCUAAGAUAGAAAUGAUAAAGGAUCAAAUAGCUGUGUGGGAAAUAAAAAGCAUAAUAUCAGAAAUAGACAAUUUUUUUUUGAUGGGCUUAAUAGCAAACAUGACAUAGCAGAGGGAGGGAGUAGUAAAUUUGAACAAGUGAAUGGAAAUUAUCCAAAUUGUAAAAUAGAAAAAGAUGAAAAGAUGAAAUAGGCUACUUGAGACUUGAGGACAGUACCAAAUGAUCUAAAUAAUUAGGUAACUGGAGUCUAGAGGAGAGGAGAAUGGAGAUGAGAAUAAAGAAGUAUUUGAAGAGAUAGUGCCUAAGAACUUAAAAAUUUCAACCACUGGAAAACAGCCAGAGAGAGACUGGAUACAGAUGAUGUUAUGACCUUCUUUUCAGAUUGGCUGUUCAAGGAAAGCCCAUAUGAAAUGCCAUAAUUUGAGCAGAAAUCAAAGGCCACGAUAAAAUAUAGUUGAAGGCACUUUAGGCUGAAUAAACAAGUGUAAAAGCCCUAAAUUGGUAGUAAUCCUGGCAUGUUUGAGGACAGCAGGAAGCUGGGGAGGGAGAAGAUGUAGGAAAUAAUUUGGGGAGGUCAGCAGGAGUGAGAUCAUAUGUGACCUUGGGUAGGCCAUUAUAAGAAGUUCUAGUAGUCAGGCUUCUCCAGAGAAACAGAACCAAUAGUGUGUACACACACACACACACCUCUCUCUCUCUCUAAAGAAUUGGCUUAUGUGAUCGUGGAGGUUGAGAAGUCCUGUAAUCUGCCAUCAGCAAGCUGGAGGCCAGGAAAGUUGGUGGUGUAAUUAGUCUGAUUCCAAAGUCCUGAGAACCAGAAACGAUGCUGGUGUAAAUCCCACUUCAAGGCCAGUGUCCUAGCUCAAGCACUCCAGCAGAGAGAGAAUCCUUACUUCUUCCUUCUUUCUGUUCUGUUUGGGCCCUCAACAGGUUGGAUAAACCUCAUCCACAGUCGAGGGACUGCUUUACUCCAUCCAUCCAAAUGCCAGUUUCUUCCAGAAAGCCCCUCACAGACACACACAAAAAUAAUGUUUAGCCAGAUACCUGGGCACUCCUGUGAAACAGUCACAUUGACACUUAAAAUGAAUUGUCAAGUGUUGGGCAAAGCCAGCUAUGGGAAGCCACUGGAGAGCUGUCAUGCAUUUAAUGGGACUUGUUUGAACUAUGGAGCAUCCAGAUCAAUUUUCAAAUUUGAAUUCCUAUUCUAGAAAAAUUUUGAGACAUAAAAAUUUCAAUUCAGUACGGAUUUUUUUUUACUGGUCCUCAUGUGACAUCAGUCUCCCCCAUCAAGUAGGUCAGGACACUCGGAGGUCAUUCUUGGGUGAGGAUCAUAAUACAUAAUACUUUAAAGUUGCUAAGAUCUGUUCAAGAUUUUGAACAUUUUAGCUCCACAUUAUAAGGAGACAUUUUAGCCACGCAAGUUACCACCAAUAGAAAAUACUAAGGUUCACUUUCACACAGAUCAGAAAUGGUGAAUGCUUUAGUCACUGCAGCAAUACUUAAAGUAGGAGCAAUGCAGAAGUUAAAAGGGAAGUGAUGUGUCUGCACAGGGAGUUUUAUUUCUGUGGACACUGCUUCAUAGUCACUCUGCAUGUCAGCUCCUCUGUGUUUCUCAUGACACAGGGCAACAACCUCCCCUGGAAAGAGAAAAGAAAACUUACUAGAGCUCCAACUAGGGCUUAUUUCCUUUAAACUAAGACAAACACUUGAUCUCCAAAUUACAAGUACAAUUUCCAAGGACAUCAGGAUGGAGAAAACUACUUCAGUUUUUGUGUCAGCCAUGGGAGUAUGUCUUAAAUUUCGUCUUGUUAAAAAAAGAAGUUUAAGUAAGUACAUUUAGGAUAAAAGUUUCAUCCGUGUAGGAUUUGCAGUGCAAGCAACAAAAUGACCUCAAGACCAUUAAAAGAGUGUAGUUCUGCAUCUCAAGGUAAAUGGAAGGAAUGUAUUUCUGUUGUUUCUUGGGUCCAAUUUUAAAAUACAGUGUUAGGCAGGCCAAGGGCAUGAGCUUGCUUGUGUUCUAGACCAAGAACCCCACUCUACCUGGCUUAACUGAAGUUCAAUAGGAAUUGGCCCCAUGGGAGAGGAAAAGCCACUCUAAGCUUAGAAUUAGUGAGAGGAUCAGGGAUGCAGGGGCCAACAUUAAUAAAUGGAGCCAGUGGAGGUGGGCAGAGCUGGCACCAGGUCUGUCAGAGGGGUGAGGCUUAAGCAGAGUUCUAAAGAAAAGAGGUGGAUUAACUAAGAUUUUGUGAUACUCCAGGUCCCUGAGUUAUUUUUAGAAACAGUUAUCUGUUCCUAUGUGCUAACCAAAUUCAUUUCAGUUACCAAUAGAGACACUGCCAAAAGUAAUGAGGUUCAGGAAGAAAGAGCUACAGUUAUUUCAGCCUCAUAAUGCCCUGUGUUUGCCAACCGAUUUUGAGUCCACAGUCCUAAAUGGCCACACUGAUGUACAAUGCUGAAGGACUUGCUCUUGUAUUGUUCAGGCAGCAGUGUACAAUUACACUUGAAAAUGCAUAGGUUAGGUUGUGGAAAAUCAAUAUGUCAAAUUGAGAAUAUCUGUGAUGCAUUUAAAUAGAGGAAAUGUAUUUAUGGUUCGAAGAGUAGCAGAUCACCCACUCAUCAGUGGAAUCACCUUUCUUUCUUUUUCAAUUUCUUUCCUUUUCAAUUUGUCUCCUUUUUCGAUUUUCCUGACUUAGUCUUUUCUCAUCCCUUCUCCAUGCUUUCUAAAUCUUACCAGUAGCAUAUGGACACACAAGCUGAGUACACACUUCUGGCAAUUAUUCUUGGAAAACACUUUGGCAAACUGCAUGAUGAUUGUAUUACUACUCUUACCACCUGGAAGACUAUUAUGAUAAAAACAUGUGACUCGGUGGGAGGCCUUGCUCGAGGGCUCCCUGGGAUGGUGGAAGGUGGGCUUGAACCCAGUACUCUUCCAGGUUUAUUUUUACUUGCUGGCAUGCUCUGGGUAUUGCUGUAGGCAUCCGCCAGGAGGCGUCUACCCACGUUUCCACAAAAGGGAGCCUUGGACUAGAGCUUUGCCACCUCCACAGUCCUCCUAUCAUGUUCAGCCAAGGCUUCUAGGCUGGUUACAAAAGAGAUUUUUUAAAAAGAGACCCACGAGUCUGUCAACUCUUUCAUACUUCUUAAUCUGUUAAAACUAAUCUCCUGGGAAUAUGAGAUAGUUGGUCUGAGUUGGGAAACGAAAAAAUGAUACAGGUGAUCAAUAUGACCAUAUUACUAAUCAGAAUCUUUAGAAUAACUACCUAAGAAAUUCAUUAUACACUUACCUAAACAAAGGAGGAAUCACAUUUGUAAAGUCACAGUACAGGUUUCUAGUUAAACACGGGGCAUUGGGCAUAUGGUUUCUCUGUGUCCCCUUCCACAGUAAAGGCUGGUAAAAGGCAUAAAAGGCAAGGUCAACAGAGAAGAGGUGAGGACUCAGGAGCAGGCUAGAGGUGUCCACACAUUUUUGGAAUACGUAGGGGUUGGAGGAGGAUGGACUGAUACAGCAGAUGGACAAAGCUGAACUCAGUGCCUGCAGGUGUCAUGGAGCAGCAACUGUUAGAGUCCCAUAAUGACACAUGACUGGGGGCUCUAGGUACCACGGAUAGCAAGGACAACACCGGGCAAAAUUGCAGGAAGAUGUUGGUAUGUGGCUUUUACACCCCCACUUUCCCUCUCAUAUUUCCUAGCUUCAGGCAGCAUCACCUACCCUUUGCUUCUGGAGGAGCUUAGAACUUUGCAACUGGAGAAACUGUUGGAAGAACUCAGGCCUCAGGGAGCACCCUGUAGGGCAGCAGCCCACCCCAGGGAACAUUGGCCGACGUGUAGAGACGUUUUUCGUUGUCACAACUCAAGGGUGCUCCUGGCAUGUGGUGAGUAGAGGCCAGGGAUCGGCUAAAUAUCCUCCAGCGCAGAGAGCAGUCUCCCACAGGGCUAGAGCCCAGGAUGUUGAUAGUGCCGAGGGGGAGAAACCCUGUUCUAGGGUGAGGAGAGAGACAGGGCUGAAUGCAGGAGAGGAAGCUGAAGUCUGCCCACCGAAUCAUGGAAGCCGCAGCUCUCUUCCCGCUCUGCUCCCAGAAUGCUGAACAGCAGGCAGGGCUUGGGCAGCUCUUUUCCACAAGCAAUCAGAAAAGUCCUCUAGACAGUGACUUUGGCUGUGUCCUAAUAAAAAAGCUCUCACCGCCCAGUCAUCCAACAGUAAAGUCCACAGCUUGCAAGAGCCCUAGUAUGCACAGUGGUCCAGUCAGCUUUAUAAUGGCUUUGUUUUAAAUAUGAGUGACAAGAAUUUUAGAAACAUUUUAGAAUCCGACAUUUUAGAACAACCUCUAAAAGGAAAGGCAUAUUCUAAAAUAAACCAACUGAAGUUAAAUUUUCAGAAGUGUAAACAGAGGAGAAUUAAAAAGUAUAGAAAAAAAGAACACUUCAAAAAAUAUCUCUCCAAGGGUACUAACCUCAAGUUAAUAUCCUUGGAGAGAUAACAGAAGAUUCCAUAGAUUCUAUGCUAAAGAGAGAAAUCAGAGGACAGGAUAGUGCUAUGUGAAAUUGAAAGUAUGUUUGCUAAAAAAAAAAUAAAAGAAGAAUUUAACAACAAAGUUGAAAUCGCUUCGAGAGUAAAGUAAGAGUCAAAGAAAUUGUCAAGAGGAGAGAAAAGAUAAGAAAAUGGGAGGCGCCAACAUGUGAGUGCUGGAAGUUCUAUAUAUAUAUAGAGAGAUAAUAAGGGGGAAAAAAUCAGUGGAAAACAAUGCAAGAAUAAUUCCCCCAAACAAAGAAUAUGCACCUCCAGAGGGGAAGGCCUGCCAAGUAGCCAGCCCAAAAAAUUGAAAAAAAGAGGAAAAAAAGGCAAAUUAUUAUGAUUUUUAGAACAUCAAAGAGAAAAAAUAGGUCCAAACAAAGGAAUGGAAGUAGGAAUGGGCUCCACCUUCUCUGCAGUGUCCUGGUACACUAGAAGGCAAUGGAGUAGUCCCUUCAGAAUCCUGAAGAGCAAUGGAGUAAUCUGGGUGCAGUCAUCUAAACUGGGCUUCUAUGCUUAUUCAGAGCCCUCCAUACAAGGAGAGGAAGAAACAAAGACAUUUCAGGAAGCCAGGAGUACUAAAUCUACCUUAUAUGCCUCCUGUUUUGAGGAAGACACUGGGGAGGGGAAGAAACAGAGAGAGAUGAAGCUAGGAUCCCGAAGUAAGACACUCAAUCUCAGGGCACCUCUGAGGACAGGUAUGGAGCAGCUGUGCACGUAGCCUGGCAAGUGCCAGUAUCACCUGGAGAUAAAGGCAGAGGCCUCUGGGAAAGGAAAAUGAAUCUGAAUGAUUUCUGGAUUUGUGGCACUAGUAGAGUAUAGGUUUUAACUCAGGCAGACCCAGAUUUUACUUGCUUAAUCAUGGUACAUACAGAAGACAAAUGUCUGAAUUGUAGGACUGGUCUUAUAAGUACAAUCCUAGAUCCAGAAUCUGAGGAGGUCUUAUGGAAAGGAAGAGAAAGAACCUGUCUUGGUUUUGUGGUUACAUUUUAUAUCCGACAGGAGUAUGUACACUCCGUAAAAUAAAACUGCUUUCUUCACUAGGUUCCUGAAGUUUCUAUCCAAUGUUAAACACAUUUUACAUGUGCCACAAAUAAAUGUCAGUUGAGUGAAUGAAUAUUUCAAAUAUGGAUCUUAGUUCUACAAAGUGUGGAAGAAUACAGAAGACCUCCCAGAAGUCUUUAUAAAAUACAUUGAGGAAAGAUAAUACAAAUGAAAUAGGCCUGGCCCCAAAUGGAAAAGCUCAAGAAAUGAAUGUGUUCAAUAGUGACUAAGAACUGGAUAGAGUUUUUAAAUUAAAGGAAAAAGAAUGGAGAGAUUUGGCCAAUUAUAGAGCCAAGAUAAUCCUGUUAAAAGCCACUUUCAAAAAUUAAAGAAUGGAAUAAGUGUGUGAUCUUGACAAUAACCCAACUCCAUGAUCUUAGGGGGGUUAGUGAACAGAUUUAAUGAGGCACCCAAUUAUUUUGAAAAUCACAAAAACCUCACAUGAUGCCAGAGCUAUGCAGAGAAGCUGCAAAACAGUUUUAAAAAUAGGUGAAUAACAGUCUUGAAAAUUUGGUGUUAAUCCUUUUAACAAUAACAUGAUUAAAAUGAGAUGAGAAUGGCAAGUCGCCCUCAUUCUGAUAUUUUUCGUGGCUCACAAUUCCCUUGAGCUCUUCUAAAACUCCCUGGAUAGGUCAGUUCUAUUCAGCCUCUGGAAACAAGCUUGUCUUGAAUAUUAAAAGACAGGGAGGAGGAAAAGUGAAGUAAAUACAAAUUGCUCUAGUCUAUUAUUCAUGUAACUUGAGAUCAAGGUGACCUGGCUGCUAAUAUCUUAUCCCAUGAUUCAAUCUGAGUAAUAAAAGUUGUGUUUUUUUCCUUAGAUUGAGCAUCCAUUGACUCAUUUGUAUCUGCCCUCUAUGGCUCAGUCUUCGUCUGGAUAAUUGGUCCAACUCCUUCCUUUAUUUUGCUUGUCUGACCUAUGCAAACCUUGGAGCCCUGUCACCAGCCCCAGCCGUCUUGCCUGGAGGCCGCAUCCUAUGGUUAGAUAUUGAUCUCAUAAGACUGCCCCUGGCUAUCUACACCUCCUGUGGCUGCCCUUCACCUGGCUGCAGACAACCUCCGUCUGUAUCUUCUUGGUCUCUGUUGCCCAGCACUCACUUGGGUACCAUUGACCUUACUACUUUCUGUAUACUCAGAAUCCACUAUGCGUUUUAAGUUGGCCUGUGAAUGAGUUUGUUUUGAUUGCCUUCUCUUCACCCACCUCCUUCUCUUCACCCCUCCAUUGGUUGAAGGAGGGAGGGAUUAUGGAGAUGGCCAGAUAAAUGGCGCCUGCUGCUGGACAGAUAACAUCGACAGCAGUUCAUUAAUCACAUACAUUCUCAGCCUGCAGGAGGAGACUACUGCACCAGGAGCAGCCAAAUAGAGGCUGCACUUGGGAACAUGGUGAACAAGCAGGGGAUGUGGGAGGCAGACUUUGUAGUCACAAGGGGUUGAGGUGAACCCUGGUUCCCAGGGGAUGAUGUGACUGGCUUGUUUGAAUAAUUCCAUGGGCAGGAAGGGAACUGAAGCCCGCCACUCAGAGAAAAGCAGGAACUGUGCCUGCGUGUCUCAGUAAGGAGGGUUGUUUGGCAGUGGGAUCUGUGGGAGCCCUGUGGGGAAGGAAACUUGCAGUUGGGCCACUAGAGGCUCUCCUGGCUUUUCCAAGAUGUCAAGGCACAUAUGAUAUUGAGGCUUAAUUUCAGGCCUUCGUACCACAGCAUCCUUCCUGUACUCCUGACCUAUUUGUGUGUUUAUGCCUACCUCAUCCUCUUCUGCUCCAGCCACUGCAUUUGCCUUUCCAUCUCUUACUGCAUCAUGAGACAGAGUCAAUCCGCACCCACUGCUCUGAUCUACUUAGCAUUAAAAGAUCAUGUAGCUUAAUGGUAACUUUGUGAUUGUUCACCUGAAUAGUUCAUUUCAUAGCCAAGGAAGCUAUGUAUUUAUAUUUUUGAGACAGGAUCUCAUUCUGUUGCCAUUCUAACUUAUUUUGACAUGUAUACAAACCAACUGUUUAGAGAUUCCACUUGUGGAAUGCAGAGCUAGAAUGCAGAGGCGCUGUCCCAGCUCACUGCACCCUCUGCCUCCCAGAUUCAAGCGAUUCUCCUGUUUCGACCUCCAAGUAGUUGGGAUUACAGGCGCCUGCCACUGCGCCUGGCUAAUUUUUGUAUUUUUAGUAGAGACAGGGUUUUACCAUGUUGGCCGGGCUAGUGUCCAACUCCUGGACCUCGUGAUCUGCCCGCUUGGCCUCCCAAAGUGCUGGGAUUGCAGGAUUGAGCCACCACACCUGGCUAAUUUUUGUAUUUUUAGUAGAGAUGAGGUUUCACCAUGUUGGUCAGGCUGGACCUCAGGCGAUCCACCCACCUUGGCCUCUCAAAGUGCUGGGAUUAUAAGCUUGAACCACUACACCCAGCUGAUAAUAUUUAAAUAAAUGAGGUAUUAUGAUAUUUUCUUAGUAAAAUACAAACAGAAACACUGAAAGUAGAGACUACCUGUAGCCAUGGCUCUUUUGAAAAAGUGCAGUAUCUCUGUUUAGAAAUUGGGAAUUAAAGACUUAGGGAGUCUUCAUUUGGGAAUACGUGACACAUUUUAAACUCUGGGAUUUUAUAAUUAUGUUGCUACAAACAACAGUAACAAUGUGAGAUGUAGCCACAAUUCUGAACUAUUGAUUCAGAGGUUAAGCUAAUUUUCCGUUUUGCUUCAAAGCUCACAAACAUCUCUCUCUUCCCACAGAGCCAUGCAUUAAGGACAGAUGAAUCAGCCUCUCUCAGGAGGCUUAUUGAGAUUAUUGAAAGUGCUCAUGAACUUCUGGCAUCUUUUUUUUUUUUGUUGAAAGCUGUUGCUGCCUUGGAUAUGAUGCUAUCAAGAUGAAAUAUUCAUUACUUGAUUGACAGUGAGAUACUUUGCAUUUCUCAUCCAAAUGUCACAGAAUGACUUGGUCCCCACCAGCUGAGAUGGGACCCUAUAUAUUUUAAGAACUACAACAAUGGGGUAUUAGCUAUAGGCACAUGGAUCUCUUCUGUAGCCUCUGUAGUAUUUGGGACCCCCUAUAGAGGGGCCUUCUUCUCUCCCUUGCUUGGGACACUGUGAAUCACCAAGACCUUGCAAGGGAGAGUAGAGAAUGGAGUAGGUUGGAAUGGUUUCAACCUUGCACGUGAGGGUCUGAAGUUCAGACUUUGAGGACAUAGGUCUUCUUGUUGGUAAAAAUUUCAUUUCACUUUAAAAAAAUCCUUUCUUUCCACCUGUUCUUAAAAAAGAAAAAAAAAACCUGUUUUUCCUGGGCUACUCAUAAAGUAUAUAUGUAAUACAUAUUUAUUAUUUUAAUUUCAGUCAGCAAAUUUCCCUUAUUUUUCUGUGUGCAACAAAAUCAGGAGAAAUAACCUUUUUUAUUUCUUGCUUUACUAAUCAUGGUUUUCUUCAGCUCUAGCAUCGUUGGUUAAAAUUAACAUUAUGGCUCCUGAUCCUUAUUUAGCAUUUGUCUUCUUGGCAUAAAGGGGUAGAAUAUGAUGGUGGAGCUGGAAAGGAUUGGGGUGGUCAUCUAAAUCAUUGCCCUCAUUUUUAAGAAAAGCAACUUAAAAUGUAGCAAGAGCUAAGGCUAGUACACAGGCCUUCUAGUCCCAGCUGGAUGCACCUCUGUUCCCAGCCUCAUCCAGUUACCAAGGCACACCCACUGCUUCUGGGUGUGGCUUGAGGAGGCACCUGCAGGGACCCUCUUCCCCAGUGCCUGUCCUAAUCCAUGAGAACAGCAGUCCUUUAGGUUUGAAGAAGGCUUUGUUAAAAACAUUGCCUUUUGUUUAAAAAAAAACAGCCUCAGGGAGGAGUCUCACCUUAAGCCUGUUUUAACCACCUUCUUAGAUAUCUGCUAGCACCUUCCCAGGGUUUAGCAGAAUGAGACAAAGGGCAGGUUUAGAGGAUAGAGCAGUCGGAUGGAAAAAGUGGGCAUUAGUGUGGUAUGCUCUUUGCCAUUCACAGUUUUCUUUAAUCUUCACGACAAGAGUAUGUAUUAAUAUUAUACUUGUAGUAGAGGUGAGUUCAAGAGUCAGUGAAGGUAAAUGCCUUAUCCAAGGUCUGUACACAAAAACUGAGAAACAAAUACCUGAAAAAAGGCAACGGAAUCACACUUUACUCUUUUUCCUUAUCUUCACCUGAGCUAAACUUGUUUAGAAUUUUAAAGCACAUUGGCUACCCUGUGUAAAGCAGGUGUGCCAGUGAAGACAGGUAUGGCUUUUUCAUGGAAUAGCAGGUAUUUGAUAUCUCAAUAUAGUAAAUGGAGGUGAGGUUACAUUAAAUGAUGAUUCAACCGCCGAGCAGGUGUUCAGAGCUGCCUUGACUGUGCUCAACAGAGGCUAGGAUCAGAAGAACACUUUUGAGGAUUAGUCCCUAUUUUCAAGUGUCCUAGUGUGUACUUGUGAGAGUUUCCUACAGGAAGCAAUAAAGUAAUCGAUAGGAUAAUUGUGGCUUAAUCUGUGAAUGUUGUAGAAGCUCAAAGAAGAGUGCGAUCAGUGGAGACAGUGGUUAGGAGUGCUCCAUGGUGAAGGCAAGACUUUCCGCAGACUGAGCAGUGAGUAUUUGGGUGGGUAUAGGACAAAUUCCAUAUGGUUGGCAGACAGUGCUAAAGAACAUAGGACUGAAGGUAAAUGACUUUCAUUCAUUCUGGUCCUAUUCAACAAAUUAUGGGAAUAAAAACCAACAUUUUCAUCUCUAGGCUAGAUUCCAAAAUGAAGAAAUCAGCCUAGAUGAUCACUAAGGUCACUUUCAGUCCUAAUAUUUUAUAAUUUUAAGCUGUGCCAGUUAAGUAGGGUGGCAUCAGUUGAGGCUGGAACAUGUCAUGAGAACCGAUCAUGCAGUGACAGAUGCAGGUGGCACAGGGACCCGGAGUCCUGGAUCCUUUGUCCUGGACAUGUUCACUCUAGAGCAUCAAACAUGUUGCUGUUAGAUUAGUAUUUUAAUAAUGCAUAAUUUUUUUCUAAUUUUGUUCUUUGUGGUGUCUUUUUGGCCUUUAUACUUAUCAUACCUUUAUAUGUCACACCCAAAGGUCCAUUAACUAGGGGACUUCUUGAAGACAGGAUAAUGCCCAAUUAAUACAUGGCUAGUGUAGUGCCAUAUUAUUGGCUGCCUGAUAAAUGUUUGCCAGAGAAAGUUGAACAGAUGUUAAUGUGCUUGUUUUGAACAUGAGAAGGUUGUAGUAGAAUUUGGAAUUUAUGCUACUGGGAGUAUGGGGAGUGAGCAAAGAAGGGAAAGGUGGCCUUGCUGAUGUGGGGAAGGGAGGGGCAGGAACUGGGGCGCAUACCUCUAUAAUUUUCCUGCUUGUGAAAUAUGGCCCCCUGCUAUCGUUGACAUUGCUACAUAGUAUUCCUAGUUAUAUGACGAGAUUUAAAAACAAGUGUGGCUGGGCACCGUGGCUCAUGUCUGUGAUCCUAGAACUUUGGGAGGCCAAGGCAGGCGGAUCGCCUGAGAUCUGGAAUUCAAGACCACCCUGACCAAGAUGGUGAAACCCCAUGUCUACUAAAAAUGCAAAAAUUAGCCAGGUGUGGUGGUGGGCACCUGUAAUCCCAGCUACUCGGAAGGCUGAGGCAGAGAAUUGCUUGAACUCAGGAGGUGGAGGUUGCAGUGAGCCAAUAUCACACCACUGCACUCCAGCUUGGGCAACAAGAGUGAAACUCCAUCUGAAAAAAAAAGGUCUAACUUUUAGACUAAUUGUCUGUAGUCUUUGAAGUCUGCAGCAUAGUACUCUGGAAAUGUGAAUUAUCAUGUUAGGCAAGCUCAUGGGUGUAGAAAAUUUUCCUUGUAUUUUGCCUUCCAUGGGAGAUCGUCUGAGUAGUUUUUUUCCUCCUGAAUUUUUGCUUGUUAAAAUUCAGGCUUCAGUGAUACUCAUAGAGUUUCUAGCCCAAAUUAGUUCAAUUAGAAUCUGCGAGGGUGUCUGUUCCUUGUUAGGCCCGUAAGUGGUCUGCCUUGUGUGACCUUGGUUUUUGCUAAUAGAAGCAUAGAAUAAGAACAAGCUGGGGCCACCUGGAAAAGGAUGUUACAUUUUAUGAUUCUUCCCUUUGUCUCCUUGAUUCUGUUCCUUCUUGGUAUGCAUGCGUGACUCCCGGAAACUGGGCGCAGCUCCGCUAAAUAUGUAACUGAAUUAAUUGCUUGGAAAAGGUCACCAAUAGCUUUAAACAUUAUAAAUUAUGAGAUUCAAUAAAUUCUGCCAGUAAAAAUUCUCUAUUACUUCUCGUUCUUGAAAUGCGUAAGGCCUUUAGUCUAAAGUGGUUUUCUCAUUUCUCUCCCACUCACUUCCAUGUCAGUUUGUUUUAUCUACAUUAUAUCUAUGUCUUUUUCCUCAUCUUCCCAAGGGAAAUGGGUUUCACUGAGAUUAUGAAAGUGCUGCAAUUAAUUCGACUACCAUAAGAGAAGGGAAAUCUUUCCAGCCUUCAUAAAUGUAAAUGAAUAUGCUGAAAAAAAAGAAAUAACUCUCUUGCUAACCCGUAAUAUUAUAUAUAAGAAUUACCAGAGGUAGUCUCAUUAUGUAGUCAAUAUACUUUUCUUUAAGGUUUUCGGAAGACUGAAAUAUUUAUGAAAUUGGAAUUCACAGUGUCUACAUACUAUAUUAUAAUACCUUUAUAUUAUGUAAGUGUUUUUAUACAGUUUAUGUUAUUCUUCCUGCAUUGUGUUGUAGAUUCUUAAUUUUCAAUCCUUCUACCUGCAUUGUGUUACAGAUUUUUAAUUUCUCAGUGAUCAUAAAGAAACUAAAUUCUAUUUAUAUCAUGUUUGGUCUAGUAGAGUGAAAAGUGAAUUCUAAUUCUAGCAAACACUUUCUGCAUGAAAUACAUGAAGCAUUUCAGUUCUGUGCCUCUGGUUCCUUGUCUGUGAGGCAACAUAGACCACAUUUUUUUUUCCGUUGUACAUGCCUGAAAGGAGGGUAGGAGAAUGAGGAGUGGGAAAAGUGAAGGUGCUCCUUAAACUGGCAUUCUGAAUUAAAAAUUGAUGUUUUACUCACACUUUGUAUAGAAUUUAAUUUCCCAAAGGGAAGUGUGUUGUUUCCCCUUACAUUAGACUAAAACAUUUUGAAGGCAGAGACCCAUAUUACCUAAGACCAUACAGGGCACAGUAUUGCAUUUUUUUUGCAAAGUUUUAUUUCAUUGACUGGUUCAUUUGGCACAAUCUCAGUUGGUUUCAUUUUUUUGGAAAGUAUUCCAAAGUGUCUAUUAGGAGACAGUAAUUUCUAUGGUUUUAAAUAUUUAUGUCCCUCCAAAAUUUACAUUGAAACUUUGUCCCCAGUGCAAUAAUAUUAAGAAGUAGGGCCUUGGGUGGUGAGUAGAUCAUAAAGGCUCUGCCCUUAUGAAUGGGAUUCAUUUUCUUAUAAAAGGACUUGGGGGAGUCUGUUAGAGAAUACAGAAAGAGGUGCCAUCUAUGAAGCAGAGAUCACACCCUCAACAGACACUGGUACCUUGAUCUUGGACUUCCCACUAUCCGGGACUAUGAGAAAUAAAUUCCUGUUUAUAAAUUAUCCAGUUUCAGAUACUAGAAAGACACACACACACACACACACACACACACACACACACACCUCUUCUAAGACUACUGUCUUAGUCCAUUUGGGCUGCUAUAACGAAGUAUCUGAAACCGGAUAAUUUGUAAACAACAGGAAUCUAUUUCUCAUAGUCCUGGAUGAUGGGAAUCCAAGAUCAAGGUGCCAGUAACUAUUGAGGGUGUGAUCUCUGCUUCAUAGAUGGCACCUCUUUCUGUAUUCUCUGACAGACUCCCCAAACCCUUUUAUAAGAAAAUGAAUCCCAUUCAUAAGGGCAGAGCCUUUAUGAUCUACUCACCACCUAAGGCCCUACUUCUUAACAUUAUUGCAUUGGGGAUAUGUAUAUAUACACACACACACACACACAUAUAUAUGCACACACACAUACAAUUAAACAUUAUAAAUUAAACACAUAUAUUAAGUUAAACAUAUAUAUACACACACAUACAACUAAACAUUAUAAAUUAUGAAAUUCAAUAAAUUGACACGUUUUGUUUGUGUGCAUGUGUGUGUAUGUGUGUGUGUAAAUUUCUAGUGGUAGUUUAAGAAUAAUUGGGGUCUUGGCCUAUGGGAGAAGUUGACAAAUAUUCUUGCUAUGGCCUCAGCAUUUGUGUCUACCCAAAACUCAUGUGUUAAAAUGAGAUGCUAUUAGAAAGUAGGGUCUAUGGGAGGUACAUAGUUCAUGAGAGUGAAGCCCUCAUAGUUGGGAUUAGUGCCCCUAUUAGAAGAGACACAAAACCUCCUUUUCACUCUCUCUGGUCUGCACUAUAUGAAGACACAGUGAGAAUGCAGCCUUUGGCCAGCUAGGAAGGGGCCUCUCACCCCCUGCCAGAUACGGCAACACCUGGAUCUUGGAUUUCCAGCCUUCAAAACUAUGGAGACAUACAUUUCUGUUGUAUAAGCCACCCAGUCUAUGGUAUUCUUGUUAUGGCAGCCUGAGCUGAAGAUGACAGUCGCUUGAAGAAAUUGUAAAUAAGUGACCAACAGGAAUACCUCACAGUUACAAUGGAUCCUCACCCUCAGUGAUUGAAAGCGAAGUGUUUCUGUGGAUGUCAACUGUUUGGUACUUUUCUGAGCAGGAACAUUCUUUGAAAUAGUGCCAGAUGUUGACAAACAUUUUUUUCAGAGCGUAGAAGUCUUUUUAAUAAUUUCCAAAGAGAUCUUUUGAAAAAGAAUUUAAAUGUUUACAACUUCCCAGAGCCUUUCUAAAAAUGUAUUAAUUUUAAUUAAAUUAUGCAUUAAUUUUAAAAUAAUUGACACCAUAAUUUCCUAUAUCAUCUUACAUAAAUAGGAAAUUGAUGGUUUUGUCUUGCUGAACUGAAUUUGUUUUAUUGGCGGGGGCAUAGAAUUAUAGAACAGGGAUUCCCAGUUAGUUAACUGGUAUCUUCAAAGAUCUUGAAACUUUACCUGAUCUAUGUGUAGUUUUAUUACUGUUCCAAAUGUUUCCUCUUUUUACUUUGUCAUUUUUCAAGGACUUCUCAGUCUAUUUCCUUCUUUACCUCUGGUGUCCCAAAAUUUCAAGAAACAUAGAUUAUUUUCAUAAAUAUAUUUUGGAGCCCCAGUCAGAAUUUCUGGUUUCUCUUACUAAGGGGAUUACCAAAGUUCUGUUUUGAAAUAUAUGUUUCCUUAGUGAACACCCAUUCGGGAGUUUUAGAAAAGGACAUCAGGGUAGGAAACACCAUAUUUCCAGUAAAAUAUGAAUUAAGAGCUCUUUUCUCUCCACAUCUAUCUAAAGAAGGAAGCACACUGCAAAUCUCUCUGGAAUCAAGCCCUGUCUGCUUAAACCAGGAUGAUGGGCUCCCCAAAUGCUUUGGGCAGUUUCUCUUUACUUCCCUCACUUGAUGUAAACGUAGCAAUUGUCAUUCUUGUGUUCCCUCAAGUUCAGGGCCUGCUCAUGUUUCUGUCUGACCUUAGAAUGCCUGUUGUUUAAGUAGGAUUUCCUGUCAUGGACAAUCAGUUCCUAGAAUUCUAUUUGGUCCGGGUUGAACAAAAUUGUGUACAAGCCAUGGGUAUCACUAACUACACCUGUCAGUGAUAAGUUGGAAGGUUUUUAGGUGAUGAUUAAUGCCAAUCUCUCUUCUACAGAACCUGGUUCCAGGGUGAAACAUUAUAGAUAGGUUCUCAUUCCCAGAAGAAGCUCACAAUACAUUUAUUUAUACCUCAUAAAUUGGACUCAGCUGAUUCAAAAAUGGCAAUAUCUGCUUGUACUAUUUCACAUUUGUCACCCAGAUGAAUUAAAAAACAACAGUUGCUCACUAGUAAUGACAUAAUCAGGAUCAGAGGAUGGUGUUCACUUAUUUAAAAGAAUAGUAUGAACUUUAGCAAGCUAGUUUCUGAGAUUAUAUAUCUGAAGGGCUAGAAAGAACUUCAAUACUCAUCUUCUGUUCUCCAUGAGGCCUACGUUUCUCCAUCUGUAAAAGGAGAGAUGGUUGGAUGGGAUGCUCGCCUAGUUCUGAAAUUCUAUGAUGCUAUGCAGUGGGUGUUUCGGCACAGAGUUGGUGAGUUUUAGCAUCAGCCUCAGGAAUAAAUUAAAUAUUUCUUGAGAAAUGUCAGAAAUGUUGAUUUCUAGCACUUUCCAGGUGGCAAAAUGCCAAACAGUGUGGAUUUUACUAUAUCAUUAUAGAUUUGCAAUUUAGUCAGUUAAAACAUUAUUCUGAGACUAAAUAGUUGACAUCCUGUAACUUAUUCAUAAUAAGUAUACAACUAAAACCUCAAAAAUAAAUUUCUAUGGACUGAAUGUUUGUGUCUCUCCAAAAAUUUUUAUGUUGAAACUCAUCCCUGAGGCGAUGUUAUUUGGAUGUAAGGCCUUUGGGAGACAGUUGAGUUUGGAUAAGGUCAUGGGAUUGAUAUUCUUAUAAGAUGAAGAAGGGACCAGAGCUCUGUGUCUCUCCAGCGUGUGAGGGCACCUCAAGAAGAUGCCAUUUGCAAACCAGGAAGGACCAUGUUGGCACCUUGGUCUUGGACUUUCCAGCUUCCAGAGCCAUGAAAAAUGAAUGUUGUUGUUUAAGCUCUCCAGUCUGUAGUAUUCUGGCAUGCCAAACUGACUAAAUCACAGCUCAAGAAAAUCUCUUCUUUGUGAAUUCCGUAGUCCACAAACAUGACCUUGCCACAUCUUCAGACGACUCCCAAAUCCUUCUAACCCCUUUACAGCUUGGGUUUACCACUAAUUUCUUAACAGUAUCUAUCACCAUCGAAACCAGUGACCUCUACUUAACUGCUCUCCUCCCCACUUUCUUAACUACGUUGAACAUUGUUCCUUCUAGAAUGGGACAUUCCAUUCCUAGAAUCAUGAUUUCUUAAUUUAUCUGGCUGCUCCUUUUCUGUCUCUUUGGCAGAAAUAAGAAGAGCCUCCUCUACUUCUAGUUUCUAGCCUCUAAAUCAUGAGUUGAAUACCAGAGAAAAGGGAGGGGAACACAGAAUCAGAAACCCUGCGGGAGAUUUUCAACAUUGUUCUCAAGCCCAUGCUCCGUGAGUCAGAAUUAUGGAAGGAGAGAAAUGUGUGGUUGUCCUAUGUGUACAACUGACACAGAGAUGGGCAUAAAGUAUCAAAUAAUAAUUCUACAGCCUACUGUCAUUUAAUGGAGGGUCACAGGGAGAGGGAUUUCAUCAUUGUCUCUUGCACAGUUAGGGAUCCAUUUUUAUUUCCACUUCAAGGGAGAAGUAACUCUUCCUGUCAAAUGGAAUUGCAACUCUCCCUCUUAUCAUCAGAAUACUCCAAAAGAGCUUCAUGUCGCAGAGAUCUUUAGCCACCAGGGAGCCCUCAAGGAGCAAGAAGUGGGCACAAGUUUACAUCAAACUACAUGGAAUAAAAACCUACAUGGAGAUUUAAGCCAGACCGAAACCAGUCUUCUCUCCGCACUGGCUUUUAUUUCCCACCUCUCUUAGUGAGAAGAUGCAUAAAUAGACCAACACCAUAUUCUGUUUAUCUCCUACUAAUAGCAUGCUACAUGUAGAUAAAGCUGAAGGAAUGAUAAUGGUUCUCAUCUAGUCUGUCAACAAUAUUGUUUGUGUUUGUAGCAAUUCUGGAGUUAAACUGUGUAGACAGAGCAUCAAGAAUAGGUAGAAACCUUCUUGAUAGUUAUAGUUGAUAUUUGGCUGCGAAGACUAGGAAGAAAAUACAUAAUCACUGUAGAAUUCUAUCUCAAGAUGUAUUUCUGACCUAGGAUACUAUGUAUUACAUAGGCUUUCCCCAAGUAUCUGGAACAUCUAGAAUCUUCCGAGAAUGAGUACUGCUAACUUCUCAGCAUGACAGCAAACCUUAGAAGCAAGUCUGAAGAUAAGAGGGUAGUGUGCUUUGGGGAGAUGUGAAUGCCUAGGCCUUCUGCCCCCAUGCCUGUUCGAAGCAACCUCUUCCCUUCCUUACAAAUGCACCACACUGCUGCUACCUAGAAGAGGUGAAAAUGCCAUAAUACCUACCCUCAAAAGACUUACUCUUAAUUUAUUUGUAAAAGCUAAGUGUGGUUGCAUGUAGGUGGAGGGAGUCCUGAGGCUUAGCAACAUUCAGGCAGGAGACUCAACUCAAGGCCUCCUCUCCCUCUGAAUUCUGUGGUCCUCCAGGAAAAAGGGCAUCACUUCAUAGAAUUUCUCUAGAAGUUACAUGGGAAACCAAGAAUACACUUGGCUGUGUGUGACAUGUUGCCCAAAUAUAAUGAUGUUUCUCAAAGAAAGAAAACCAGAUGUAUUUGUUAUGUCAGCUCAGGGGCAAGGUGAGUUAUCGAGAACUAUGGGCUCUGGUUCAUGGUAGUGAGCUUUGCUUUCAUCAUCCAUUUCAGUUGCUUUUACAGUCAUCAAGAAAGAAAGCCAAGGCCAGGUGUGGUGGCUCAUGCCUAUAAUCCCAGCACUUUGGGAGGCCAAGGCAAGCAGAUCACCUGAAGUCAAGAGUUCAAGACCAGCCUGUUCAACAUGGCAAAACCCCAUUUUUACUAAAAAUACAAAAAUUAGUUGGGCCUGGUGGCACAUGCCUGUAAUCCCAGCUACUCAGGAGGUUGAGGCAGGAGAAUCGCUUGCACCUGGGAGGAGAAGGUUGCAGUGAGCCGAGGCCACACCAUUGCACUCCAGCCUGGGUGACAGAGUGAGACUCUGUCUCAAAAACAAAAAAAAUGAAAGCCAAAAGCUGGCCUCUUCCUGACCUCCUGACCUCUGCUUAUGAGGCACCGUAAGUCAUGCUUGCACUCCUAGGCUUUGCAGCCCCACCAUGCAGAUCUGUGUGUGGCUGCUGCGGGCUAUUUUAUCCUUUUUUUUCCUAUUUCCAUAAUUAGUAUAUAUUUCUAAAUUCAUAAUCAUGAAUGCAAAACUACAGUAAUAACCCAAGAGAUGAGGUAUGUAGUACUUAGCGUUUGCCCUAUGGAAGACAGAAGUACAGGAGUAAAGAUCUUUAGGGCCAGUCCGUAGUGACCUCAUUUAUGACAAAGACAAUUUAAGUUGAUGGUGGCUUUAUGUGAACAAAACAAUCUACCUAAUUCACUAACUCCCAGAAGGCUCUUUCGGGCACCCUGCUAUGAAGCUCCAAAGUGAUUUACCUCCAAGUGGCAAAAGGAUUUCCUUCAAAUGAUCUAAAAGUUUGCACCUGGAAUAUACAUUCUUGAAAAAACCCAAAGCGCUUAACUGGUAGGACCUUCUCCACUCCAGGCAGCCUGCAGGCACUUAACUCUCACGCUCUUUUCUUUCUUACCUUCUUCCUCACAGUCAUGUUUUCUCUAUAGUGAGUACAUAAUAGUAAGACGUUUUGGAGGAGUUUCUUAUCUUGCUAAACUACAACAGUAAAGUAAGACAUGGGAGUAAUCAUGUCUUUGAAGCCCAGACUUCAAAGUUAAGGGCUUCAGGUACUUUUUCAUUAGCACCAAACACAAAAAUUAAUUAAAAGCAGCCAGGAGUUAAUUUGUAUCUAUGCUAUUGGUAAUAUUUUCUCAGUAUCAAAUAGUUAAUCCAAUAAUGCCUCCAAAAUAUUGUAAAGUAUAUAUAUAUUUUCAAAAGAUUUACUAUUUAAUGCAAAAUCAGAAGGUUUGAAAAUAUACUGUGGAAGAUGGCUUUCACAUGUUUUUAUUUGGGAUCAACAGAUAUCAGGGUAUCCAUCAAUCAGGGACACUUAUUAAGCACCACCGCUAAGUGUUAGGGAUUUAAAGAUGAGCAAGGCAUAGUCCCCACUUUUUAAAUGAGCAGAAGAGAUAGACACAUAAAUAACAGAUACAACAGAACUGCUUGGUAUUCGGGGGGCUUCCAGAGAGCCACAGGGCUUCACCUUAUGAUGUGUUGAACUUCUCAUGCUGCCACUAUUUCUUGGUUUGUACAGGGUAUUUCCUGUUAUCAGAUUUUAUAUUUGUUACUUGACAAAUGACAGGAACCAUUGACAGGUGUGCAAACACUCCUUAAACAGUCAUUUGUCAAGAGGCCUACUGCAAUAAAGGCACGGUGCUUACCUAAGCAUGGAUGGCUCAUGCAAGUGAAAGCCUGCCAACACAGUGGGAGGAGUAAGAGAGCAUGGCCUGUGCUAUUUUUCCCUGCUGCUUUUUUGCAAUUAACAGCAUUUAGUCUCACAUUUUAAAGUGCUUUAGUUGCUUUGUAGCUGGUGAGUGUCCAAAAAAACACCGCAAUAUUAGGAGUCAGACUCCUAGUAUUCAUACAGGACACUGUUGUGCAGCUUGUAAGCUGAAAGUCGAAUGGUAUAAAUGAAGACUCGAUUACACAAGAAUUGAACCAUAAAUACUUGUGCCCUGUUUCACCAGUGUAAGAUUUAAGUUUACUCUUGUUCCUCUUCCUCAAUAAAAUUCUGUACUCUUUCCUUUUAAAAAUUAUUUAUAUUAAAUAUUUAAUAGGAUAAUGUAAAAUACAUGCAUGCUGUAUAGAAUAACACUUCAAUAACAUUCUAUGCACUUGCCAUCAAGAUUAAGAAAUACAACUCUGUGCCCCUCCCAAGUUUAUUGCCUUCCCCAUCCAGCAGAAAGCUCAUUAUGAAUCUUGUGAAUUUUGUAUUUAUAAUUUUCUAACUCUUCUAUAUAGUCUUAACACAUAUAUUUGCUUUCUCAAAUAAGAUGUCAUUGGUUUUGCAUAUUUCUUAAUGUAAUGUUGAUAGGAUAGUACUGCCCAUAUUUCUUUUUAAAAAUGUAACUGUUAUGUUUAUGAGUUAACUGCCAUAUGAAAUUAUAAAAUUUUUUUCUAUAUAAAUAUGCCACCAUUUUUAUAUCUUCUCAAGUGAUAAGGAAAAUGUUCUGGUGUCUUUCUGUUACAAGUAGCAGUACUAGAAGCAUCCUUGUGUAUAUUUCCUUGUUCACGUGUCCAAGACAUACCUAGAAAGAGAUUGCUGGAUCAUAAUGAAUGCGUAUGUUCAGAGGAGACAAUAUUACUAGCAGUCAGUGCUCCUCCAAAAGAUCUAUAAAUUGAUUGCCAUCUCAAUUGAAAUCUCAGCAGGCUUUUUGGUAGGAUCUGAAAAAUUCAUUAUAAAAUUUUAUUGAAAAAGGCCUGAAGUUAUCAAAAUAAUUUUGAAAAUGAAGGUCAAAGUUAAGCAAUUUAUACUACUGAUUUUAAGACUUCUUAUAAAGUAAGCAAAAUAGUGUAGUAUUGGCAGAAAAAUAGACCAAUAUUUCAAGGGACCAGUAGUCUAGAAAUAGAUGACACAUAUAUGAGCAAUGACUUUUGACAAAAUGCUAGGACAAUUCAAUGGGAAAAGGAUAAAUCUGUUCAACAAAUUAUGCUGUAACAAUUAGGUAUAGUCAUAUGCCAAAAAAACACACCAAAAAAACCCAAAAAUGAAUCUUGACCCUUACCAUAGACGGCAUGCAAAAAUUGACUCAAAGUGAAUCAUAUACUGAAAAUAAAAACCUAAAACUUUAAAACUAUAGAAGAAAGUCUUAAGAGUCCUUAGGUUUGACAGAUUUUCCUGCAUGUAACAUAAAAAGCACAAUCUAUAGACAAAAAGUCAAUAAGUUAUACUUCAUGAAAAUUAAAAACUUUUCCCCUGUGGAAGACCCUGUGAAGUGAAUGAGAAGACAAGCCAUAGAUUGGGAGAAAAUCUUUUCAAUACACAUAUCUAACAAAGCAUUUGUAUAUAGACUAUAUAAAUGACUCAACACAAUCUAGUUAAAAACAGGGCAAAAUGUUUUCAAACAAAUAUGAAAUCCAGUGACUCAGGAGGAAAAAAUAAUCUGUACAACCAAGACAUAUUGGUAGCAAGUCCAAUGAAUGAUAAAGUUGGACCUGUGACCAUCUGAAAGGCCUUCUGAGUAAUGAGAGGUUUUGCUGUAUUAUUUACAUGUCUGUCUUCUCUACUCAUCUGAAAAGCAGGGAUAUGACUUGCUCAUGUUUGAAUCCCUAAGAUUUAGUUUUGGUGCUCAAAGUUGAUUGUGACAAUUUAAGGAUGCAUAUGUUCAUUCUAGGAAUGAAUUUAAAAAUACAAAGAUGUAGCUUAAAAUGCAAUGGAAAAGAUAGAAAUUGUUAAAAAAUACCACUUCACAUAAAAGAAAACAGGAAAUGAGGAAGAAUAUGAGACCAAAGAUCAGAGAUGUCAAAUAGAAAACAAACAGCAAGAUGGGAGACUUAACCACAGUCAUAUCAAUAAUUACAUUAAAUGUAAAUGAACAAAAUAUAUUUUUCCAAAAGGCAGGGAUUUUUUGAUUUUAGAUACAUGUGUAUAUAUAAAUAUACACAUAUAUAUGUGUGUGUGUAUAUAUAUAUAUAUAAAUAUAUACAUAUGUGUGUGUGUACACACACACACACACACACACACACACAUAUAAAACAGGACCCAGCUAUAAGAUUCUGCACAUAUAUUAGAUAUAAAGACGCACACCAAUUGAAAAAUUGAAAGUAAAUUUAUGGAAAAAUACACAUCAUUGCAAACACUAAGCGUAAGAAGGUGCAUGUAGCUGUAUAAAUAUCAAAUAGGCUUCAAGGCAGGAGGUUUUAUCGACAUAAAAAGGGUAAAAUCAUAGUGGUAGCAAUCUUAAAUGUUUAUGCUCUUAUUAACAUACCUUCAGUAUACAGAAAGCAAAAAUUGACAGAAAGGGAGAAAGAUAGACCUUCACAAAGGUAUUUGAACAUUUUAACAUUCUUCUCUCAGAAAUUUAUAGAACAAGUGAUGGACCAUUAGUGAAGAUAGAGAAAACUCAAAAAACACUAUCCAUCAGCUUGACCAUAUAAACAGUUAUUUACGUCAUCCAAUUACUGCAGAUUACAUACUUAUUUUAUGUGAACAUGAAACAUUGAUCAGGAGAGCUUAUAUGUUGGGUCAUAAAACAAAUCUACUGAUAUAAGACAUUAAUACAUUUAUUUUUAAUUCCAUCAUAAGGAUAUAUAUCUUACAAUUAUUUUCUUAUUAAUUUUUCUAAGGGUGUUUUGAGGUUUAGCAUCACUAUACCUAUUUUGUUUUCAGUUGAGAAAAGGAACAUUGGUUAGUCCCCAGGUUAUUCUAGUUAAAUACAAUCUGAUUUUCCUUCUUGGUGGCCAUGCAUACCACCUAUAUGAUUGCAUUAUAUUGAGAAAGUUGUUACAAAGCCUCACCUUUUGGCCCUUCUUGGCUAGUUAUCCCUGGCACUAUUGGUCAAGAACAACAGCACACAACCAUCUCUUUCAACUAAAUAAUUUAUGUACCCAGAAUUGCUUUCUUCCUACUGUUUCGACUCCAGGGUCAUUUAAAAGCCGUUACUUCCAAAUAUUAACAGUAUUGGAAUUCAUAAUAUAUAAACUAGGAAGUGCAACUUGGUGCUGCUGUAAAACCAGUUGAGUUAUGCAGAUUAAAAGGCUUGAUUCAAGGAUACCCUUAUUCUUUUAUUUGCAAGUAAUUAUUAAGUCUCUCUGUCAUGAUAGGUCCUUGUUUUGAAAGAGCUUAUAGCCUACAGAAGGAGACAUACAGAUGUUCCAGGUGUGUCUCAUUUUGUAGACAAAAUGAGAACAUAUUCUCUUUUUUUUUUUGAGACAGAGUCUUGCUCUGUCAUCAGGCACCAGACUGGAGUGCAGUGGUACAGUCUCGGCUCACUGCAACCUCCACCUCCCAGGUUCAAGCAAUUCUCCUGCCUCAACCUCCCGAGUAGCUGGGACUAGAGGUGUUUACCACCACACCUAGCUAUUUUUUGUAUUUUUCAGUAGUGGCGGAAUUUCACCAUGUUGGCCAGGAUGGUCUCAAUCUCUUGACCUCAUGAUCCGCCUGCCUUGGCCUCCCAGAGUGCUGGGAUUACAGGUGUGAGAUGUAUUCCCUUUGAAAAAACAGAUGGCUCUUCCCAUUUGCCACCAUCACCAAAGUGGGAGUGGCUAAAAUGAAGUUCAAUCCCUCUGUGACUUCUGACCAAAGCAAGGAUUGCAAAAAGCAUUUCAAUGCACCUUCCCACGUUCAAAGGAAGAUUGUGUCUUUCCCUCUUUCCAAAGAGCUGAGACACAAGUACAACGUGCGAUCCAUGCCCAUCCGAAAGGAUGAUGAAGUUCGGGUUGUACGAGGACACUAUAAAGUUCAGCAAAUUGGCAAAGGAGACCAGGUUUACAGGAAGAAAUAUAUAUCUACACUGAAUGGGUGCAGCAUGAAAAGGCUGAUGGCACAUCUGUCCACCUAGGCAUUCACCCCAGCAAGGUGGUUAUCACUAGGCUAAAACUGGACAAAGACCACAAAAAGAUCCUUGAAUGGAAAGCCAAAUCUCGCAAAGUAGGAAAGGAAAAGGGCAAAUACAAGGAGGAAACAAUUGAGAAGAUGCAGGAAUAAAGUAAUCUUAUAUAAAAGCUUUGAUUAAAACUUGAAACCAAAAAUAAAUAAAUAAAUAAAGAACAGAUGUAUAAUGAUCCGUCUUCCUCCUGCUUGAAUGCAGUAAUUUUAGUCUUUUGCAAAAUUUUAUUUUCAUGUAUUUCUUGGAGUUUCUAGAGAUGGUAACUGUUGAAUGAAUUCCUUCCUUUGCUGCUGUGUUCCUUAGAUACCCAGCACUCUCAGUUCAGCCCAAGGGCCACAGCUGGCGUUCUUGUAUCCCUCACUUCCUGGAAUGGCUCCCUUUGGACUGCUGCUGCAGACCCCAUGAUGCUUCAUCCAAGCAUGGGCCUCUUAAUUCUACAAUAUUUACAAAAUGUUCAAUAAGAGAAGAAAAAAACAACAAAGAGAACAAUUUAUGAUAGCUACUAGAUAUGGUAACUAUUGAAGUCAACAUAUUCAGACCCUUAGCUUUUAGCCUAAUGUCUUGUUGCAGAAUCCACUUUACCUAACCCCAAAGGUCUACUCACAGGUAGAUAUUACUCAUUCCAAAUCCAGAGCCAUGCCUCCUCUAAGUCUCUUUGGAGGAUGAAGAUGGGUUCUUUUCAUUUUUUUCUAGUUUAAGACAUGCCUUCUUAAGCUCCAUAUUAGUACUGGAAUGAAUCUCUCAAUUGGAAUGUGAACAGUAAAAAUAUCUACUUCCUUUGGCAAUAAUUUUACCUUCUAUCCUUAGGGACAUGGUCUGGUCCCAGGAUUUCAAUUUCUCAACCAUGCUCUAUCAUGGUUCACUGCCUCAGUAGUGAAGCAUUGAUAUAUAUAUGACAAGUGGAAACACACAGGUAGACUUUAUCAGUCCAGAUUCCUUUUCCUUCUAUAAUUACGUCUCACUCUCAAGUAGACUCUGUGGCCUAUAUACCUUUCCUGCUAUUUUUUUAUUUUUGGGGGAAUAUCAAUUCCUGAUUGCCUUUGAGAUAGCUUACCCAGUCUUCAUCCAUACCCCAUCAUCACAGACAGACACACAUUUUCUAAGAAAGUAAUAAUACGUACUUGGAUAGGUCAGUUUAAAUUUGUACUUGGAAAGGGAAUCUUGCUCUAUAGAAACUAAUACGUAGACAUUUCACUGCCCACCAGAAAGGAUUUUUUUUAAAAUCACUUUGUUCUAUUACUUUUAGCUUCUAACACCUGUGCACCCAGAAAUAUCUCUGCUAUCUGUCUGCAUAUCUCGUGGUUCUUCUGAAGAGAAAAUAUUCUCUUACUAAUGAAAUCAUCUGUCUGUAAGGCAAAGUCAUGUGUUUACUUCUUGCAAUAGAAACUUCCUCUGUUGGAUGCUCCAAGAUGACAAGGCUUUCAGAUUGUUGCCUUCCUAUUAAAAUAAGGUCACUGCUUGCCUUCAUUUCUAUCUGUGUGUUUAGUAGGUAUCUGAAACAAAAUGUGGCCAAAACAGAACGUUUGAUUCCUUCUUUCUCCAAAUUCCUUUAUCCCUCUGUACCCCGUUUUGUUAAAGGGCAGCUAUAAGGAUUUGGUUGCUCAAACCAAAAGUUAUGAAUCUUCUUUGAUCCAUUUCUUUCCCUUCAUGCCUCUUUCCCCUCCUUUCAAGCCACUAAUUUUUGUCUUGUUGGCUGCACACAAAAUAUAUCCCAAAUUCAUCCAUUUCUCUUCCUCAUAAUCAUACGACCCUGUCAUUCUUGCAGUAAAUUCUCUUACUGGUCUCUUUUCUUCCAUUCUUCUAAAUCCCAGAAGCCUGAGUUUUUAAGUGAAAUUCAGAUCAUAUCACCUUUCUGCCCAAAACUCAACCAUAGUUUUCUACAGCACUUAGAAUAAGAUCCAGACUACUUUCCAUGGCCUACAAAAUUCUGCAUAAUAAAGGAAGAAUUCUUCAUUCCUGGUGAAUGACUUAGUGGCUCUGAAGGGAAAGGAGGUGUCAAGAUUAAAUAUCUGACAAGCAAUGUGUCAUGAAAUAUCCAAGAUAGUUCAGGUGACACUCAUCAAUUCUGCUUCUUCAGUUUAAAUGUGAAGUGCGGGCUUCUGGUUAAUUCACUUUCUAGAGGAUAAAGAGAGAAAUCAAAGUUGGGUUGGGGAAUAAGUGUGGGAGAGGAGAAAAACAAAAGACAUGCACAUAAAAACCGAAAACAAAUGCAAUACAAACAGAGAUAAAUAGGUGGGACUUCAUUAAACUGAAAAGCUCACCCUGCAAAAGAAAUGAUCAGCACUAUAAAUAAACAACCCACAGAGUGGAAGAAAAUCUUCAUAAUCUAUGCACCUGACAAAGGACUGAUAUCCAGAAUGUACAAGGAAUUCCAGAAAAUUAGCAAGAAAAAACAAUCUCAUCAAAAAGUGGACUAAGGACAUGAAGAGGCAAUUAUCAAAAAAAGAUAUAAAAAUGGCCAACAAACAUAUGAAAAAAUGCUCAACAUCACCAACGAUCAGGGAAAUACAAAUCAGAACCACCAUGCGAUACCACCUGACUCCUGCAAGAAUAGCCAUGAUCAAAAAAUUCCAAAUUAAUCAUUGUUGGCAGGGAUGUGGUGAGAAGGGAACACUUCUGCACUGCUGGUGGGAAUGCAAACUGGUACAACCACUGUGGAAAACAGUGUAGAGAUUCCGUAAAGAACGAAGAGUAGAACUACCAUUUGAUCCAGCAAUCCUACUACUUGGUAUCUAUCUGCAGGAUAAGAAAUCAUUAUAUGAAAAAGAUACUUGCUCAUACAGGUUUAUAGCAGCACAAUUCACAACUGCAAAAAUAUGGAACCAGCCCAAAUACCCAUCAGUAAACAAGUGGAUAAUGAUAAUGAAUAUAUAUACAUAUAUAUUCAUUCCAUGGUGUGUUUCAAUUCAUACUUGGAAAGGGAAUACACACACACACACACACACACACACACACACACACACACACCAUGGAAUACUACUCACCCAUAGAAAGGAACAGAAUAAUGGCAUUUGCAGCAACCUGGAUGGGAUUGGAGACCAUUCCUAAGUGAAGUAACUUAGGAAUGGAGAGCCAAAUAUCAGAGUGAGAGCUACACUAUGAGGAUACAAAGGCAAAAGAAUGAUGCAGUGGACUUUGGGGACUCGGGAAAGGUUGGGAGGAAGGUGAGGGAUAAAAGACUGCACACUGGGUAUGGACUAUACUGUUUGGGUUAUGGGUGCACUAAAAUCAUAGAAAUCACUGCUGAAGAACUUACUCCUGUAACCAAACACUACCCGUUUCCCAAAAUCUAUGGAAAUAAAAAUUAAAAAUAAAAAAAAUCACGAGAGUCAAAGAGUAGCAAAUGGUUUUACAGAUGUUCAGAAAGGAAAUUUCAAAAAGCAAACACAAUGUCACUUGUAAGAAAAUAAAAUAGAUUAGAUUCACCUGCUACUUCUUAAGUGGUAAUCAUGUAAAAAAAAAAAGUCCUCAUAGAAACAUGGCCAGUGGUGGUCCAUUAAUAUGCAUGGACACAUGUACACACGUGUAUACAUGUGUCCCUGUAUCUGAGUCAUUGGUAGCAAAGUUGGGAGUGUAGGAAUCUCCUAUGGCUCAUGCCACUUUCCAGGUGAAGAGAAUACUUUAAGGUCACAAAAUCCCGAAGGUGUUUUGCGAAGUGCGGCACAGCUCUGGUUGCUAUUCCAUGGGAUCAUCACACACUUCCAGGAGGCAGAAGGUGAAGAUCAAAGUAGCUUCCUUGGAGAGGCGGCAGCUCCACAGACACGUGCUGGCUUUGCUCUAUGGUAUUUAAGCCCCUGGAACAUGGAGAUGAAACAGAAAAUAGCUCAAAACAAUUUGUGCCCAAAGAAAUCUUAAGCCAAAUUUAUUUUUUAAGGCAUUUCUAAUUCUAGGUUGGUGCAAAUGUAAUUGUGGUUUUUGUCAUUACUUUUCAUUGCAAAAACCACAGUUACGUUUGCACCAACCUAAUAGAAUUUAUAGAAAAACAUGACAAGUUCUACUUAGAAUCAGAAGGCCAGAAGUUGGGCAAGGGGUCCAAGAAGGCCUGCUGCUUGUAGUGGAAUUGUCAAAUGGAAACGUUCUCCUCCAGUUGGGCAAAUAAGUCUGUGCUGUGACCCCGCCCUUCUAGUGAUGGUUUCCUCUCUCUCUAGAGAAAAGCAGGGGCUUCACUGCGAAAGACCUGGAAGGCAGCAAACAGGCCGUUCUAGCUGAUGAGGACUGUUGGGAGGGUGAGCCUGGGAUGUCCUUUUCUUAAUUAGCUCUGGCCUCCUGAGGAGGGCAAAUGAACUCCCUGUGAUGAAGAGACAACAGCAGCUGUCAGGAAGAACCUAAAGGCACCUUGAUGUUAGAUUGUCCCGAAGCCUGGGAGGCCAACACGAGUCCUCAGAAGAUAUAAAAUAUGAGCAGAAAGGCUCACUACCUUACAAGUGGCAACCUAGUGUGAUCUAAUCUAACAGGUUCCUUUUUUACACGUAAUGUUUCUACACCCACACACAUAUACAUAUUUAUAAUUGCAGUAUUUGUGGCCAUUUUUAAAGGAUGAACUUUACAGCUCCGUCAGACUUAGCUACUGCUUACGUCCAGGCUGGCCCGAUCCACGUGAGUCUGACGCGUUGCUUCUACUCAUCAGCAGGGUGUCUAAACUGUAGGAUCAGUCACUGAGUUAUUAAAAGCAAACAUGCCUCGCUUCUCAUUCUGCCUGGGUGCCCACCGAGGCACUUGCCUGUGUCCGUGUCCAUUAGAUGAUUCAGUUGUUUUUACCAUGCAGCUUUUUCCUUCUAAAACACUUUGGUUUCAGUGUUCUCUUGGCCAUCUGUCUCACACUGAGUAAGUCAUUUCACCUUUCCAGGCCUCCUGUUCAUCCUCUAUGACAUGACGAGAUUGGACUGUUUGACCUCCUGGACCCUUGAGACACUGAGAGUCUCUGUUUCUAUAAUGUCUAUCUGACUCCUCAAGCUACAGGGGUCCCUGCUUAUAAUUCAUUUAUUCUCCUUGAGCCACUUUUGUUUUAUUAAGAGCUUGACCAAGUGACCUAAUGAUCUUCACUUCUGCCGCACACGUGCUGAACUGCAGGCAAAGAGGUCAUCGAUGGCAUGCUAGUUCUUUGCAUGCUGCCUAGCUUUUCUGUGGUAGAAGAUCUACAGUCCUUAUUUGCAGAUUGCUGGUCCCUUAUCCAGCAUUUCCUACUCAGGAGAUCUGAGAUGAAGCCUGAUCAUCAGCAUUUCUGACAUGUCCUGUUUGUGGAUGUUGCCACUGUUACCUUGAGAAUCACAGACCUAGACUAAGAAUGGAAGGCAGUUCAUCCCUGGUAAGGAGUGGUGAGUACAAAGGGAUGGAGGCACACAAGACCAUGGCGUGUUUGGGAGAUGACAUAGUUCAUUUGUCCAGGGUAUACGACCCAAACUGAGCAAGUAACAAGAAAGGAGUCAGAUUAUGGAGGGCUAAAAUAUUUGGACUUUAUCCUGAAAGGCUGUUAGGGGAAGAUAUCUAAGAAUUUGAGUUAAUGGGAGACAUAAUGAGAUUUGUAAUUUACAAAGACUAUUCUGCAUGCUAGACGAAGAGCAUGCUGGAUGGGAUCCACUUUGGAAGCCAGGAGGCUGUCUAGCAGAUGCCUUCAUCUAGAUUAGAACCAAAGAGGUUCCAGGGAACCAGUGCAUGGCAAUGUGGAUUGAGAGUUAGAGGCAAUAGCUAUUUGGAGACUUAUUGGGCAAUUAAAUAUGGAAGAAGAUUUUAAAAUGUUUUAUAACAAAUCGGAAAGUUCAUCAGGCUCUUUAGUGUCUCAUUACCACGUUUUCUUUCUGUCUUUGAUCCUUCUAGACGUUAUACAUACCUUUGCUUUGUGAAAUUCUUAAUUUGCUUUCAUUUUCAUAUUGUUUCUUCCUGGAUCAUUAAAUAGAUUUAGUAGAUCGUAUUUAAGAGAGGAUUAGUAGCCGGGUCUGGUGGCACACGUGUGUAAUCCUAACUACUCAGAAGGCUGAGGCAGGAGGAUCUCUUGACCCUAGGAUUUCGAGGCUACAGUGAGCUAUAAUUGUACCACUGCCCUCCAGCUCUAGGUGACAGAGUGAUACUCCUCUACAAAAUUUAAAAGAAAAAAGAGAGGGUGAGUAAAGUUGCCACAAAGAAAAACAGUAUUUAUAAAAAUUCUUGAGGCAAUAGUGUAUGUAAUAAAGGGGUUGAGGUCUGUUUUGGUGGCACAGGGUAGCUUGCUCCAAAGUAGCUGGUCCUCAGCAGGACUCAGAUAGGGGGUUGCAAGCAAGGCCAAGGGAUAGUCACAAAAGCAUGACCUAUACAAGGUCAUAGUAUCUGUAGACAGAAGUUGCAGCCACUAUCGCUUCCUUCUAUUUCUUUUUUUCUUCUCCUCCCCAAAUUUCUAUAUGCAUGUACACACGCAUGCCCCGUAUAAAAGAAUGUCCCAGUUGGUCAGCCCUAGGCACUCCCAAUCUGAGAUUCUACAGUACCUGCACCACGCUUCCCCACAACACUUUGCAUGCUUCACUGUUGUUUUCUUUCCAGUGUCUGCCUCCCAAUCUAGCCUGUGAGGCCUUUGAAGGAAGGAAUUCUUAUGAGAGAGGAGCAGAGGAAGCAAGUGAUCUUUCAGCUUCAGAGCUUAGUCCCAGGGACUGUCUUGGCGGAUGGAGUUUUAAACUCAUGCCGAGAGACUAUUUAUUUCAGGUUAUCUGCAAAACCCCUGUAAAUCUGGUCUUGCCUUAGUUGGAAUUCUCAGAGGAACCCAAGGAAAGAUUUCUUGCCCAGAGGAUUCUAGAACACAGUAAAAAGCUACACUGAUAGCUUUCCUGGCUCAAAUUAGAAUGGUGAUAUCUGGAGGCUUUAUCUUAUCCUAACGUUUCCUGGAAGACAGUAUUCAGAAAUGCACUGCAUAAACCAUGGACAGGUGGAACUGCUCUGGUUGCCUGGCCGCACUCCCCUUUCUUCUGGUGAAGAGUGUGCUUCUCAACAUUAUUUUAAGAGUCUCUUUUUUUUUUUUUUUAAUUAAAUGGCUUAAUUAAAAAAUUAAGUCCUUCAAUAAAACUUUUUAAAUUUGUCUUUUGUGUAUUCCCUCCUAUCAAGGAAAUCUGGUGGAAUCUCAGUUUCUGUGGCUAAUUUUUUGUUUUGUUUUGUUUUUCUGAGACGGAGUCUUGCUCUGUCACCCAGGCUGGAGUGCAGUGGUGCAAUCUUGGCUCACGGCAACCUCCACCUUCCGGUUUCAAGCCAUUCUCCUACCUCAGCCUCCUGAGUAGCUGAGAUUACAGGCAUCUGCCACUGCACCUGGCUAAUUUUUGUAUUUUUAGUAGAGACAGAUUUCACCAUGUUGGGCAGGUGGGUCUCGACCUCCUAAAUUUGUGAUCCACCUGCUUUGGCAUCCCAAAGUGCUGGGAUUACAGAUGUGAGCCAGUGCACCCAGCCAAUUUUUUUUAAGUAUAUAAAAUAUGCUUCUUAAAUAUACUUGCUUCUCUAGAUGUUCUGGUGGGGACUCCUAAGGAAUUCCCUGUACCGUAGCUGGAGUUUGAAAUAACUCACUGCUCAUGGUGUAUGGUCCUGUGCACAAAGCCCUCAGCCAAGCAGACCCUAUUGCCUGCCUACAACCAUUGUUUUAUGAUCAUUAAUCUGAGCAAGGGUGGUUAUGAGCUGAGACCCUACAUUUUAUUAUUUCUCAGAUAUGUUCCCCAAACAAAUCAGUUUUGAAUUAAAUAUUCUGACCUGGGAUUAAGAAUCCUGUGUUCCAGAAGUCCCAUGUAAUUCUUACAUGUUUUAGGAAUAUGGCAAAAGGUCAUUAAGCUUCUGUUUUUGGUUGUCUUCAGAAUUGGAUUAUUGGCUAAUUUUAAAAAGUAUUUUCUUUUCUUCCUUCUCUGGUUUGCACAAUCACCUUUCUUUGUUGUGAGUUUAAUUCAAGCUUAUAUAUUGCUUCUUUAUCAAACUUGGGUGUGACAGGAGAACUGGAACGUUCCACUUGGUUUUGGAGAUGGGGAACAGGGGUGGGGGGCGGAGAGAGAGAGAGAGAGAGUGCAAGAGAAAGAGAAGCGUUCUACAAUCAGAAUGAAAACAGAACGAUAACCAUUGUUGGAGUUUAUUCAUUCACUGAGUUGGCUAAAUCAGUAUGAGCUGAGCCCUGUAGCUGAUAUUGCCAUGGAAACCAGGCAGGAACAGAGUUGCCUGGUUCCUGUCUGUUCCAAGCUUUGGAUCCUGUAAAUUCUAAGAUUUUAAAAGGAUUUUUACUUAUGUUAGAUAUUUUGCUCUUGACAACCAAAGGCACUCUGACUGAUUCUGAGAGUUGAGUUGGAAGUCAGAUUAUCUGGAUUCUGACAUCAGAUCUGCCAUUCAAUGUUUGUGUGGCCUGGAAUUAGUCGUGUCACCUCUCUGAACAUCAGCUUUUUCAUCUGUGGAAUCAAAAUUGUUUAAUUGCUUGAACCCCAUUGUGAUGAUCAGUUUUAUGAUAUUGUGAGCGCUAUUAUUAUAGUCAAUUACAGGCCUUCUGUCUCUUGAAUAUCCAUGGAAUCAUUGUAUAAAUUUGCUUUUUCUUCUACAUGAAAAAUCAAACAUCUUAUUAACAUCAUGAUGAAUAAAUUAGAAUAGAAAUUAGAUUUAAAAAGCUGAGAGGCCUUUGAAGGCCAAAUUGUAUGCCUAAAAUAUUAUGAUUUCAUUACCCUGGAAAGAGAUCUGGUAACCAUAUGGAGCAGCAUGGAUUAGAAGGUAGUAUCUCAUGAAGCUUUCUUUUUUCUCUCUUUUUUAACUUUUGGUAUCCCUUUGCAGUAAAUUAGCAAAUAUCAAUUAAGAAGUGCGAUGUGUUAGGCAUAGCAUCAGGUACUGAGGAUGCAAUAAGAUGUGGUGUAUACGCCUUUUGAUUAAGUUUGGCAACGGUUAAUAGAGACCCAAGGAAGCAACAGCCUAAAGCAGGGAGAACUGUGUGUCUUUCUCAUGGAAACUCAGAAGCAGGCAGACCAGGGUGGGAAAUGGACACCCAAGCUCCUCUCCUGUUGUUGCUUUGCCCCGUGUGGGUCUCUGUUCCCAAAGUCACUUCCUUUUGUCCAAUCAGCAUGGCUGGUCUAGCCUCAUUUAGCAGACCUUGUUUAACUGGCAAGAAGGAGAAAAAAAAAGACGAGAAAGAAAAAAAGGUGUGCAUUGGCUGUUUUGGGGGGUUUCUGGAAGCUGCCUGAUGAGCUUCUCUCAGGAGAUGCAGGAUAAUCAUACCACUGCAUCUAAUGGCCGAGGGGGGCUGGAAAUAUGGUCUUUAUUUCUUUUGCUUUAUGCCUCACAAAACAUUAGGGGCUCUAUUAUUUUGGAAGGAGAAGAUAGAUACUGAUAAACAACUAGCAGGUUUUGCUAUACAUGGUGACAUGGGUUUCUCAAGAUCAACAUGUAAGUAAGUUGUUAAAAUUCGGUAUAGAAAUAAUAAUGUGCAUACAGACAUGUGUUCCCCAGGAAGUAGAGUGAAAUUGAGAAUGCAUUACCUACAGUGAGGUGUAAUGCACAAACUGAGACUUGAGAUCUAAAUUAAAGUAAAAAAACAUCAUAAGGUUGCAGGUUACUGUUGAAAGUUUAGUGCUAAUGAUUAAAGAAAUGCAAACUAAAACCAACGUGAGAUAUAAUCUCAUCCCAGUUAGAAAAAAAAGAUAGGGAAUAACAAACAGAUGGUGGUGAGGAUGUGGAGAAAGGGGAACCCUCAUAUGCUAUUAGGAGGAAUGUAAAUUAGUACAGCCACUAUGGAAAACAGGACGGAGUUUCCUUAAAAAAAAAAAAAAAAACUAAAAAAUAGAACUGUCGUGUGAUCCAUCAAUCCCACUACUAAGUAUAUAUCCCAAAGAAAUAACACCAAUGUAUUGAAGAGGUAUCCUCACUCACCCAUUUCUUGCAGCAGUACUCAACAAUAGCCAAAAUGUGGAGUCCACCUAAGUGUUCAUCAGUGGGUGAAAGGAUAAGAAGAAUGUGGUAGAUGUAUACAAUGGAAUAUUUUCCAGCCAUAAAAAAAUGAAAUCUUGUCAUUUGCAUCAACAUGGAUAGAACUAGAGGUCAUUAUGUUAAGUGAAGUGAGUCACGCACAGAAAGUCAAAAACACAUGUUUUCACUCAUGCCUGAGAAUCUAUGAGAGCUAGCAAGUGGAUCUCAUGAAGAUGGAGAGUAGCUUGGUGGCUGCCAGAGGCUGGGAAUGAUAGUGGGGAGGAGGGAAGAGAAGUUGAUUAAUGGGUACAGAUAGACAGUUUGAAGGAAGACAUAAGACCUGGUAUUUGAUAGAGCAGUAAGGGUGUUAGCGUUCAUAUUAGCUGAUUAUACAUUUCAAAAUAACUAGAAGAUAAUACUUUGAAUGUCCCUAAUCAGUAAUGUUAUUAGCAUUAAUACUUGCUGGUUAUGCAUUUCUCAAUGACUAGAAGAUCAUAAUUUGAAUAUCCCUAGCAUAAAGAAGUGAUAAUUAAGUGAUGGAUAUCCAAGUUACCCUGAUUUGAUUACAUAAAUGUAUUAAAUUAUCACUUGCCUGAAAAUAUGUACAUCUGGUAUGUAUCAGUUUUUAAAGUUCAGUGCUAGGGAAACAUACAUUCUGAGUUAUGGAUACUGGGGACUGAUUCUGGAGUAGCAGGUGGAGGCUAUGUUCUGGAACCCUUCUUAUGACACCAUAUGGUUCCUGUGGAAGGAUGAUAAGAUUGUAUUUUAUAUAAGCCAAUGACCUACAAAACUACAACAAUUGUAAUCCUGUAUGCUAGCAGUGGGCAAUUUAGCAAUAAAAAUAGCAUGAAAAAGUACAAAGCACAUAGGGAUAAAUGAAACAAAAGAAGUGCAAGAAGUACACACUGACAACUACAGACGUGGGUGUGAGGAAUCGGAGAGAGACUGCAUGUUCACAGACAGGAAGAUUCCACGGAGUUAAGAUGGUCGUUCUGCAGUGAAUCUGUAGAUUCAAACCAAUCCUUAGACCUAAGUCCCCACAGGCAUUGUUUCUUCCAAAAAUUGACAAACUGAUCCUAAAAUAUAUAUGAAAAUGGAAAUAACCUAGAAUAGCCAAGAAACUGCAAAACAGGAAAGUUCAUGAAUUUAUACCAUUCAUUUCAAUACUUAUGACCAGCCUGCAUUUAUCAGGCAAUGUGGUUUGGGCUUAAGAAUAGACAUAUGAGCCCAGUGCAGUGGCUCACACCUGUAAUCUCAACACGUUGCGAGGCUGAGACAAGAGGAUUGCUUGAGGCCAGGAGUUUGAGACCAGCCUGCGCAACAAAAUGAGACUCCUAAAAAUUAGCUGAGUACCAUGUCUCAAGUCUGUGGUCCCAGCCACUCAGAAGGCUGGGAGGAUCACUUAAUCUCAUCCUUGCACUC